rnacentral:lncRNA from 1 species
AAUUAUAAAAUUUAUUUUUUAGGUACUUCAAAUACUCUAGAUCAAGUUUAACGGGUCGAUCAACGAUUCGAAAGUCGCAACAUCGAAAACGACCUGGAAGCACGAGAAAGUCCCUGCUUCCAAAAAGCAUACUAGCUCACCACUCUCUCGUCUUCUCUCUCUCUUAUCUCUCUUCUUUGUAUAGUAUAUAUAUAUAUAUAAUAUAUAUAUAGUAUAUAUUAUGCGAAGGCGCAAUCGAAACGACCUGGAAGCACGGAAGCUCCGUGCUUCCAAAAGCAUACUAGCUCAUCUCUCUCUUCUCUCUCUACUCUCUCUCUCUAUAUAUAAUAUAUAUAUAGAGUUGAGCUGAAUACUAUCGGUAGCAAACGCGUCAAACAAAUGUUCGAACUCCAUUGUUGUUUCGCUGAUGGACCUCCAAAUCAGCGAUCGGGCACCGGUUGAAAAUGAUCUAUACCUUGAAAUAUCUAGAAUCAAUUUCAUGCUUUCUCUGAAUUUUUAUUUUUUUUUGUUCUCUUUCUCAGUUGCGUAAAAUGAACGAUGAAAAUGAAUAAUGCUCUAAAAGUGACCAAUAGAAAUUUUAUAAUCAAAAUCAGAAUAUAGAUCCUUGUUUCUACAUAGUUUAAAGAAUGUUGUCUAACCAAAAAUUCAAUUGAUUUGGAUAGUUUUUACACAGUAUUAAGAGAAAAACGUCUCAAUAUCUACCAUUAAAAUUAUAAUUUGAACUCUUGAUCAUUAGGUUAAUGAUAUCGAAAAGAUUUUGAAAUUUGAUUUCUAAUAUUUCAAGUGGUAUAGAUCAUGUUUUAAUCGGAUGGCCGAUCGUCGAUUUGGAGGCUCUUAUCUCAAAAAUAAAUGGGUGGCAAUAGAGCCGUUGUUCUGUUAUCGAUAGUAUUCUAGUCCUAUAUAUAUUAUAUAUAUGUAUAAUAUAUAUAUAUAUAUUAUAAUAUACUAUAUAGUAUAUAACUAUAUAUAUAUAUAUAAUAUAUAUAUUAUAGCAGGCGCUGCUGUGCCAUAUUUCGUAUGAAUGCGAAUUGUUCGAAUCGACGAUCGGCUUCGCUCUAGUUGUUGAUUCUAGAGUAUUGUGAGUUUCUAGAAAUUAGUUUUUGCCAGAUUUUUUCGAUAUAUUUACCUAUGUGAUCGAAAGACUUCAAAAUCAAUAAUUUUUUAAUAGUUGAGUAUUGCCUUUCAGUUUAUGGUGUAGAAUGUAUUCAAAUCAGAUGAAAUUUCGAUACAAAUUCUUUAUACUAUCUUACACAAGAUUCAAUAUUUCUGGUCAUCAAAAAUUUACAGUGGUAUAUCAAUACUUUUUAUUAGGAUUUAUUUUCAGCCUUAUAAAAAUUAUGAUUUUGUUUGCAAAUUGUAGGUAAAUGAUUAUCGAAAAUAAUAAAAAUAUUUUCUAGACUUCACAUACGCUAGAUUAAGUCUAACGGAGCCGUAUCGUUCGAUUCGAAAUUUCCUCAUCGAAACCGCCUCAGAGCAGAAGGUCUCAUGCAUUUUGAGAGCACAACAGUCCUACUAUUAAUAUAUAUAUAUAUAUAUAUAUAUAUGAGAGAGUUAAAGUAGAAAUACUAUCACAUUACAAUAAAAAUGAUAUAUAGCGACACUUUUAAAUAUCGGUACAUAUUAAAAAAAUAUUGUUAGCUAAAUUAUCAAUACUUUAUAAAAGUGUUGCUAUAUAUGGGAUCACUAUAUGUGGGGCCACCUCAAUGUUUGAUACUCACUCCUCUAGCAAUCUGUGGCGGACGAACACGUAGCGAUCAUAACCCUCUACGAUCUUUGUGAGAUCCUCAUUACCGAACUCCAACCUUCAGAAUAUUACCUCGUUGGCUGCGAAGGCGAGGGAAGAGAAGGGGAGAUGGUGAUCAAUUUUUCUUUCUUUUUUUUUCUUUCUAUUUGUAAUCGGGCCGAGUGGGCUGAGUGGGAUUGGUUAAGUAGAGUAAUUUUUUAUUUUUAGUAAGAUUGGGCUUUAUAUUUAGGCUUUAAUAGAUUUUUUAAAAUUUUUUUGACAUAAAUAGAACACUUUCACAAAAAUAUUUAAAAAAUGUGUCCCUAUAAUCUAAUUCUGUUUAGUGUCAGUAGCAAACAAAUAAUAUCAAUAGCAAAUGGGUUUUAGUGCCAUUCAUUUACUUUUGAUGAUGGAAUCUCUAAAUUGACGAUCGACAUCAUUCAAUAUGAUCUAUACCACUUAAAAUAUUUAAAAACCAAGUUUUAAAUCUUUUAGACAUCAUUAGCCUAAUAAUCAAAGGAUUUCAAAUUUUAUAAUUUUAUUGGUCAAUAUGAAAUAUUUUCUUGUUUAACAGCAUAAAGAUAUUCAAAUCAAUUGAAUUUUGAUUAGAAAAUUCUUUAAACUAUUUAGAGCAAGAUCUAUAUUUUUUAUUUUAAUUACAAGACUCCUAUCAUCACUUUUUAAAAAAUAUGUAUUUUCAAUCAUUUAUUUUUAUGUCUACUUGAUGGAUAAGAAAAUAAUAUCGACAAAAAUAUGAAAUUUAAUUUCUAGAUGAUUCAUGCGGUAUAGAUUAUAAUCAAUAGUGUCGAUCGUCGAUUUGGAGGCUCUAUCAUCAAAAACAAAUAGGUGGUAACAAAACUCUUUGCUACUGAUAGUAUUCCAACUCAACUCUCUCUCUAUAAAGAGAGAGAUAUGUGCUACUAUAUUCUUACGAGUAUAGAACCGUUCGUAAUCAUAAGUUGUUUUCGAUGAUGGAGCUUCUGAAUCGACGAUCCAUUCUAUUAAAUAUAAUUUUGAGUAUUUGAAAUUUUUUUUAAAAAAAAUUUCAUAAUUUUUCGAAAUCAUAAUAAAGUCUUUCAAACGGACAUAAAAUGAAUGUACGAUAUUUUAAAAAUAGAUGAUCGGAUCCUUCAAUUUAUGAUUAGAGCUAUUGAUCUUUAUCUAAAUAGUGAAUAGAAUUUUUUAUCAAAAAUUUAACCAAUUCUGUUUUUUUACGCCAUUAAACUAGCAAGCAUCCUAUACCGACCGCUAAAAAUUAUCAAUUUUGAGAUCUUUUUAUCGUAAAGUAAAUGAUGACAAAAAAUUAUAAAAUUUGAUUUCUAAAAAUUUUAAAUACUCUAAAUAACAUUUAACGGUAUGAAUUGUCAAUUCGGAAGCUCUAUCAUCGAAACCGAUUUAUGAGUACGAAGGGGUCGUACUCAUAAGAAUUGAGUUGGAAUGCUAUUAGUAGCAAAUGAGCUCUGUUGCCACCCACUUGUUUUCGAUGAUGGAGCCUCCAAAUUGGCGAUUGGCACCGUUGAAUAUAAUCUAUACCACUUGAAGUAUUUAAAAACUAAGUCGACAUCAUUGACCUAAUGAUCAAUGGGUUUCAAAAUUUGUAAUUUCAAUGAUUGAUAUGAGGUGUUUUCUAGUUUAACGGUAUAAAAAUAUUCAAAUCAAUUGAAUUUUGGUUAGAAAAUUUUUUAAACUAUCUAGAACAAAAUCUGUAAUUUUGAUCUUAAUUACAAAACUCCUAUGAUCACUUUUAUAAGAUAUUCACUUUCAGUCAUUCAUUUUUGUGUCCACUUGAUCGACAAGAGAACAAUAUCGAAAAAGCAUAAAAUUUAAUUUCUAAAUGCUUCAAGUGGUAUAAAUCGUAUUUAACAGUACCGAUCGUCGAUUUGGAAGCUCCAUCAUCAAAAAUAAAUGGAUAGCAUAGGAACCCGUUCGCUACCGAUAAUAUUCCAGCUCAACUCUCUCUACAUAUAUGUGUGUAUAGAGCUACUAUACUAUCGGAAUUAUAGAGUAUUUGAUGCUUCCGACUUUUUGACUCUCAGAUAAAGAAUUAUACGGUUGAGAUGAUUAUGGUCCUCCCUAGAGUUGAAUAGUAUCUUUAGGGUUGAGUGAUCCUCAUAAAAUAAUAGUAUUAAUCUAAAAGUUAGAAAUGGUCAAAGAAGUCGAUCUAAGAGCAAAAAAAAUCGAAAGCACUAUAUUCUUUAUAAUUUCAAUAGCAUUCUCUCUCUCUUUCUCUCUCUCUCUCUCUCAUCUCUCUCUCUAAUAUAUAUAUAUAUAUAUAUAUAGAGAGUGAUGCUACUAUGCUAUCGGAAGCACGGAGCUUCCGUGCUUCCAGCUCGUUGCAAUGUUGACUUUUGAAUUAUCGAUGCGUCUCGGUUAAACUUGAUCUAGAGUAUUUGGAGUACUAGAAAUAAAUUUUAUUAUUUUUCGCAUAUCAUUUGCCUAGUGAUCGAAUGCUUUCAAAAUCAACAAAUUUCAAUGGUCAUAGUGAGCCGUUUAGUUCAAGUUUAACGGUGUAGAAAUAUUCAAAUCACGUAAAUUUUGAUAGAAUUCUUUAUACUAUAUAAACAAGAUUAAUAUCUUUGAUUUAAAUUUUAAUGGAUCAUAUAUUACAUUUUGUAUAUUUUUAUUUUUCAGCCGUUUGAUUUUGACCCCUUCGUUCACUAGGCAAAUGAUAUCGUAAAUCAUAAAUUUGUAUUUCUAGCUACUUCAAAUACUAGAUCAAGUUUAACGAAGCGUGACGAUUCGAAAUGCGCAACAUCGAAAACGAGCUGAAGCACGGAGCUCCGUGCUUCCGAUAGCAUAGUAGCCUCAUCAUAUAUAUAUAUAUAUAUAUAUAUAUAUAUAUUCACUACUGUCACUCAAUUAAACAUGGCUACAACCACCUCCUCCUCCUCUCUCUUCCUCAUCACCGUAAAAUCCGAACCGGCUGAGCCGGUGGAUCCGGAUCCGCCCCCGGCUCUCGACGGCAUAGCGGCAGUGGUGGGAUACCGCGCGCUUUUCGGAAAUCGGCCGAAUUCGAGAGAUCGAAAAAUUAUCGAACCGAACGCAGCAGCCACUACCGGCAAAGAAAAAGAAGAAGAAGAAGAAGAAAACGAUAAUGAUGAUGACGAUCCUCCUCCUCCUGCUGCAGGUGCUGCAGGUGCGGUUGCGAGGGGGUAUAGAGGGGUGAGGAAGCGGGCGUGGGGGAGGUGGUCAGCGGAGAUACGGGACCGGGUGGGCCGCUGCAGGCACUGGCUCGGCACCUACGACACCGCCGAGGAGGCCGCCCGCGCCUACGACGCCGCCGCCCGCGGCAUGCGCGGCUCGAAGGCGCGCACCAACUUCGCCAUCCCCGACGCCCGCUACAUCCCCACCCCGCUCUCUUCCUCCUCCUCUUUGUCUUCCACUAUUUCUAGUACUCCGUCGAGGAAGAAAAAUAAGUGGACGAAAAACAAGAAAAAGAAAGGAGGGAAGAUAUCAGGUGGGCCUUCUAGGGUGGUGACUUCAUUCGCCCAAAUUUUUAGCUCUCCUGCCGGCGGCGGCCAUGGAAGCAGGAAGCGCUGCAUCUGCAUGCCCCGCUCUAACUAGGUUUUUCUUUUUCGUUUUUGGUUUUUGUUUUUUUGUUUCUUAAAAGUGUUGGGAUCGAAAUAAAUUUUAAUUUGGAAACUGCUAUUUGUUCACCUACUUAUUAUAAACGUAAAUCUUACAUCUUAAAAUGUUUACAAAAUCGCAGUUUAUAGAAAAUUGAUAUGACAAACAGAGAAUUUGAAUCUUUUGGAUAGAUGAAAGAAGUGUAAGAUUUAAUAUCUAAUUAGGGAUGUCAAUGGAUAUGGAUAUCCAAAAUUUUAUCCGAACCCGAAUUCGAAUGAAACGGAUAUAUUCGAUGAAUAUGGAUAUGGAUUCGGAUAUAAAUUUUGAUUGUACCCGAUCCAAACCCGAACCCGAUCCGAACCCGAAUUUAUUUUGUAUUAUAUAUAAUAUAUAUACAAAAAUUUGAUGUUAUAUUUGAAUUUGUAUUUUAAAAGUUUAGAUUUAAUAUAAUAUAUUUUGAAAUAUUGAAAAAAAAAAUAAUUGUUUCGGGUUCAAAUUUUCGGGUUCGGGUUCAAGUUCGGGCUUCGGAUUUUUGGUCGGGUUCGGAUUUGGAUAUGAAUUUUUAAAAUCCGUCGGGUUCGGAUUCGGGUCUCGGGUUUGGAGUCGGGUUCGGGUUCGGAUUUUUAAAAAUCCGUCCGAAUCCGACCCGUUGACAUCUCUAUAUCUAAUAUAAAUUUUGUCUUACCGAUGCAUGUUUUACAAUGUGGAGUACGAGAUUUAUUUAUACACUUCGCGGAGAAAAUAAUAUUUUUUUUUUUUUUUUCCAAAAGAGUCUUAACACGCUUGCGCACUGUUUGGAUGUGUCCUAGUAUGGGUCUUGUAGAAUAACUUUGCAGAAAAAGCUCGCUUGAUUUAAUUAAAAUCGGACUGCUGCACUGAUCCGAUACUUGAACCGCCAAUUCAAAAAAGUCAAAGCAGUUUUUUUUUUUUUAAUUUAUCUGGUUCAAAAUAUUGAAACGGUCAUUGUCAGGACAAUCAAAUUAACGAGUUUGACCUAAUUUUUAAGUCAUUCAUUAUAACCACUGAGAACACGGUUGGUUCAAAAUUGAAAUUGGAAUAAGAAUGGAUAAGAAUUGAAAAAACAUAAUAAUAAAAUCCUUCAAUAUGUUUGAUUUAGAAGAGUAGUUCAUUCCUUUUUUUAUUGUUUGGUUGAGAGAUGAAAAAAAAUUGAUUAUCAAAAAAAUUAAAAUAAAAUUUAAAUUAAAAAUAUAAAAUAUAAAAAAAAAUUAAAAUUAAGUUUGCAACCCAAAAUAUAGAAUUUUAUAAUUCAAAUUUAAACUAAAAAUUAAAUAUUAAAAAAUUUACAUCAAGAUUUUAAAAUGAUGUCAAAAUUAUAAAUAUAAAUUUUAAAAAAAUAAAAUAAAAUUUGAAAUUGAGUGGAUAAUUCAAAAUAUAAAAUUAAAUUUUGAUUGUUUCAAAUUCAAACUUAAAAUUGUGAUUUAAUUUCAAUUUGAAUCCAUAGGAAUUUAAUUUAAAUUUUAAAUAAGUUAUGAAAUUUGAAAUUUAGAUUCAUAGAUCAAGUUCUUUGAAUUUUUAUUUUGUAUUCAAGUUCAAAUUAAAAUUUAAAAUUAUAAAUUUAAACUUAUAUUUUAAAAAAUAAAUUUAAUUUGAACAAGCAUUCAUUCCAUCUGGAUUUAGCUUCCAAAUAGAUCUCCUAGCCCGGAAUGAAAAAAUGGAUGAUUGGAAAAUUCUCAUUCCACCCAAGAUUCAGAAUUAGAAUGGUACUCCCGCACACCAGACAUCCACAAAUCAAAUUGUGCAUUUUGAUUUUAUUUUCUGGAUAAAAAAUAUACGAACCAAAUAUAUUCUCAAAAGUGACAUAAGGCCUAAGAGGCCGAAUACAAAAUUUGUAUAAUUAAGAGGUCUCAAUGCAUUUUUAGCUAUCUAGAGAAAAUAUAAAUAUAUUAUUAUUAUUAUUAUUAUUAUUAUUAUUAUAUAAAACCGCAACACAUGUGCUGUACAAUCCCAACUGUCACAAGUGGGCAACACCCCAACAUUUUUUUUUUUUUCUGACAGAUAGAAAUCCUCCACGUCAGCUUCUCAACUCUGACUCAGCCGGCCUGUCUUCAUCCAAUUCGUUGGCGACGCGUUUACAGAUCCCCCUUCGCCUCCCCUCUCUCCCUAUAUUUAUAUGCAUAUUAAUUCACUUUAUGAUCUCACAUAGGCAUCUCUUAUUAUCUUUACCGAUGACUACUCUUCAUCAGGCAAUGCCCAAUAAAGAGUUUGCUGAAGCGUAUGAAGGCGAGCUCAGAACGCCGGAGGCUCACUGCUUCAAUUUCACGUGCUUCUGGCCGAUCGGUCUCGAGUACAGGCAACUGCUUCACGAAGAUUGCGCGAAGGAGAAGGGAUCGCUCGAGGAGAGAGGGCGAAGGGGAAAGGAUAUUGCGGCGCCCCAGUCUGUGGCGCGGGCCAGGUGGAAGUCUGUGGUGCACGACAUCGGUCGGCAGAACAGUAACACCAGUAUCACGAGGCGAAGCAGGCGGUCGUUCAGCUACGACUUGAGGAGCUACGCCUUGAAUUUCGACGAAGGGGACGAUGUCGGGGCUAGGAUUACGGCCGUCGGCGUCAAUGCAACACGACGAAUAUAAGAUUGUGUACAUAGAGGUCUUGUUAUUUUGAUUGAUUAGCAUGCAAAAGCAAAAAAAAAAAUUUUCAAAUUAUUGUUUUAAAAGUUUUGUUAUAACUUGUAAUUGUUGGAUGGAUUGAUUAUUCAUUGCUGUAAUUGAUUUUGCCUAUUUGAAUAAUUUCAUGAUGCCAGAUGUUAUAAAUUGGUAAUGUGCAUUAUAGAAAUAAUAUUGAUAGUUACAUGCAAAAAGAGAAAAACAAAAACUAUCUCUCAUAAAUAAAGUGAAAUAAUAAUAUACAUUAGUUUGGGAAAAAGAAUUUAAUUUGCUUUUCAUAUUGUGAAUUCAAUGAGGCGUCAACUUAACCUAUCGAAGCGUCAAUUAAGACACUACUUCUAAGAGAUAAUGCUCACUUAAUCUCAAUUUUAAUUAUAUUAAUUAAUGCACACCAUCUCUAAUGAUGGACAUGUAGACCAACAAAAUGAUCAAGAUCAUAAUUAGAAUCAAUAAAUUAAGAUGCAUCAAAACAACAAAUUAAGAUGGCCAUAAUUUAAUUAGUUCCCCUACAGCUAAUUAAUUUCUUAAACUAAUGCCAGCUAAAAGGCAUGCAUUAAUUUAAAUGGGUUUCUAAAAAUUAUGAAUUAUGGGAAGCACGAUGCAAUACAUUUAUAAAUGCAUACGAGAUGUUCCAACUACCAAUUUUGCGCAUCAAGCAUAUGUGGUACUACGAAUUAUCAAAGUUUCUCCGAUGCUUUUUUUUUUUUAGUGUAAGGUAGCUCGCUACCCGUUUUAUUUAAAAAAAAAGUGAAUUAGACUACAAGGGUGAGGCAUCCAAGGCCUCGGAAAGAAAACAAAUGCUACGGAAGGUGGGGCUGAAUUGCUGGGAGGAGAUGAUCCCAAGACUUCAUAAGUGACUUCAGCUUGUGGGCGGCUAGCAGGGGGUCUGGCCAGACAUUUCAAAAGAUCGACCCAUUUCUGGCCUCCCAAAUGACCCACCAUUAGACUACUAGAGCUGAUACUCUACUAGAUACUGGCCGCAGUCCUUUCUUGCUCGUCCAUCUGUCCCAGACCGAAAUAUUAUCAUUUUCCAAAUCCCCGGGCAGGACAUCUCCCACACCUGUCACUAACAGGAAUUUCGUAAAAACGCACUGUGUGAAAUGUGAAUAGAUGGUCUACGAUUUCCUCUUCGGUUCCGCACAGCACAUAGGCAGUGUCUCCGGUCCAUCCUCUCUUUAGUAGAUUAUCUGCAGUAGGAGUUCUCCUCUUAAGGGCGAGCCAGUAGAACACUUUGCAAGAUCUAGGGUUUCUCCAUUGUUUGAUGUGAUAAACGUAUAGACAUUCUGCUUAUCAUUAGGGUGCGUUUGGUUCAGGUUAUCCUAACAAGAUUACAGACAAUUCUGUCAAAAUUAUUGAGUUUGGUUCAUUCAGUAUGUAAUAUAGUCAAUAAUAUAGUAUUACAAAUAAAACAGAAUUAUAUCGAAAAUAUUACUGAGCCGGGGUGGGUAUCUCGUAUUACUAAUGUCGGAUUAUUUUGCAUAUAUGAAAAAUUACAACUUUAUCCCUCUGAAUCCCAAACCCUUUCAAUACGUCAUUUUUUAAAUUUUAAUUUUAAAUUAUCAAUUUUUAAUUUUUAUUUUUAACUUUUAUUUUAAAUUUUAAAUUUUUAAUUUUUAAUUUCAAACUUUAAUUUGAAAUUUGAAGUUUUUAAUUUUUAAUUUUUAACUUUUAAUUUAAUUUCUAAUUUUCAAUUUUAAAAUUUUUAAAUUUAAAGUUUCAAGUUUCAAAUUUCAAUUUUUAAAUUUAAAGUUUCAAGUUUCAAGUUUCAAGUUUCAAAUUUUAAAUUUUAAAUUUUAAACUUCAAAUAUAGAUUUUAAAUUCUAUAUUUUAAAUUUUAAAUUUUAAAUUUUAAAUUUUAAAUUUUAAAUUUAUAUUUUAAAUUAAACUAUUAAAUUUAUGUUUUUGUUCAAAUUUAAAUUUACAAAUUUCAAUUUUAUAUUUUAAAUUAAAAUAUUAAAUUUUAUAUUUUUGUUCAAAUUUAAAAUUUAAAAUUUAAAAAUAAAAUGUAAAUCCAAAUAUUAAUUUAUGUAAAAUAAAAUUUAGUAAAAAAAUUAUUAUUUGUAAAUAGUAAAAAAUUUUGCCAAAUAUACCUAAGGGCAAUUUUAGAACAGAUUACACUUUCUUGUCAGAAUUACUUAAUUUUAUAAAGUAAAUUAAACAUAAUAAUGUUAUAUAUAUUGCAAUCCAAUAUUAUAUUACUGUAUUAAACCAAACGUGUUAAUGCAGCAUCAUUCAGAAAUCCAAAAUACCUGAAUAUGUUGAAAUAAUCUGUAAUAUUAAAUAACGCGAAUCAAACACGCCCUUAGAGGUUUGGCGAGUGUGUAGCUUUGAUGUAAAUUUCAAUUUUUAGCCACGCUAGGUUAUCUAAAUUUUAUCAAAUAGUUCAAUAAAUAGGGUAAAUUGCAUUGUUAACUCUGAACUUUUGGCGAAGUUUCACUUUACCCCUCGAACUCCUAAAAUGGACAUCUAACACCCUAAACUCUAAUAUUUCAUUCAUAUUACUCCUUCCGUCAGUUUUCCGUCAAGCUCCGUUAACAGGAAACUGACGGAAGGGGUAAAACGAAUGAAAUAUUAGAGUUUAGGGUACUAAAUGUCUAUUUUAGGAGUUUGGGGGGUUAAGUGAAACUCCCCAAAAGUUCAUGAGGUAGCAGUGCAAUUUACCGUAAUAUGUUACUUAUGGAUUGACUACUAACCCUCAAAUUAGUGAUCAUGCUUGAUUUUAAAUUUUUUUAUAUAUUUCUAGGGUUAAUUGCAUACACGUCCUUGCAAACAUAGUGAAUUGCAGAUAUAUCCCUGCAAAACUCAACUUUCAUAAUUUGUCCCUGCAAAAGUCCUAAUGUAUUCAGAUAUGUCCCUCUGGUUAGAAUCCGUUAGAGAACUGUUAAUUUUUUAACAGUAUGCUCAUGAAAUGACCUUUUUGCCCUCACAAAUAUGUCCCUCCAAAAGGACUCCCUCUUUCUCUUUCUCUUUCUCUUCGGGCCGUGGGAGCGGACGACAGCGGUGGCGCUUCGGCAAGGUCGUGGUCGGGUUCGCCGGCGACAAAGAAGAGGGAAGAAAAAAGGGGAGAGGAAGAAGAAGGGGAAAAAGGAAAAAUGAGAGGAAGAGGGAGAGGAAGAAGGAAGAGGAAGAGGGAGAGGGUUCGCAGCCGCCACCGCAUCUCCUCCCUCGCCGGCGACGAAGAAGAGGGAAGAGGAAGAGGGANGCGGCGGCGGCGGCGCGGGGUUGGGUUCGCCGGUGACGAAGAAGAGGGAAGAGAAAGAAGGAGAGGAAGAGAGAGAUGAAGAGGGAAGAGGAAGAGAAAGAGGGAGAGGGUUCGCCACCGCCGCCGCAUCUCAUCCUUUGCCGGCGACGAAAAAGAAGGAAGAAGAAAAGGGAUAGAAAGCAGAAGGAGGAAGAGGAAGAGGGAAGAGGAAGAGGGAGAGAAGAAGAAGAGGGUAAAAUUGUCAUUUCACUUAUUAAUUAACCAUGGUUAAGUAUUUUAACUAUGGUUAACGAAAUUUCUCUAAUAGAAACUAAUGGCAGGGACAUAUCUGAAUACAUUAGGACUUUUACAGGAAUAACUUAUGAAAGUUGAGCUUUACAGGGAUAUAUCUGUAAUUCACCAUGUUUGUAGGGACGUGUAUGCAAUUAACCCUAUUUUUUAUCCUAAAAUAAAUCAUACCAUAAUUUAUCCUAUAUUUUAUUGUAAUAAAAUAAAAGCGAAAGAAAUGAAUUAGAGUGGCUUAAAGAUAAAAAAAGAGCGAUACUAACUACCUACGAUGCUUGAACAUUCUACUGUCCUGAUGUACUCGCUAAUAUGGUUGAUUUACAAUAGGUGUCCUCACUCGGAUAUAGAGAUUUUAAUUCUCAGUUAAUUUUCUGUAGUACUCGUUUGCCUCUUUUAUCUUUAGAAGUAUUGUUCUCGAAAAUACACUUAUUUUCUAUGAAACUAUGAAAUGUAAUUUUAUUGUAGUAGUCUAAAUUAAAAUUUUUAUACUUCAUUUCAGCCAAUUAGAAAUUUUUAAUAUAAAAAUAUAAAAUAAUAUUUUAUAAUACUUUAGAACAGUGUUUCUAAAGAUAAAAGGGACAAACGAGUAUUACAGAAAAUUAACUGAGAAUUAAAAUCUCUGUAUCCGAGUGAGGACACCUAUUGUAAAACAACCAUAUUAGCGAGUACACUAGGACAGUAGAGUAUUCGAGCAUCAUAGAUAGUUAGUAUCACUCUUUUCUUAUCUUUAAGCCACUCUAAUUUAUUUCUUUCGCUUUUAUUUUAUUACAAUAAAAUAUAGAAUAAAUUAUGGUAUAAUUUAUUUUAGAAUAAAAAAAAUAUAAAUUUAAAAUCAAGCGUGAUCACUAACUUGAGGGUUAGUAGCCAAUCCAUAAUUAACAUAUUAUAAUAAAAUAAUUUAUAGUCAAGAGUACUACAAGGUAAAUUGCACUGCUAUCUCCUGAACUAUUGGCGAGUUUUACUUAACUCCCAAACUCUUAAAAUAGACAUCUAACACCCUAAACUCUAAUAUUUCAUUCGUUUUACCACUUCCGUCAGUUUUCGGUAAACGGAGCUUGACGGAAAACUGACGGAAGGGGUAUCAUGAAUGAAAUAUUAGAGUUUAUGGUGUUAAAUGUCCAUUUUAGGAGUUCGAGGGGUAAAGUGAAACUUCGCCAAAAGUUCAUGAGGUAACAACGCAAUUUAUCCUCAAUAAAUAUAUUUAUUUAUUUAGAAAGCCUGUAGAUAACUAUCAUUAAGCUUAAUAGUGUUACAAAUGCAAUGCAAAAGAAGUAGAUUUUAGCUGCUUCUUAUUUUGGGCCGAUUAAAUCAGAAAACUAAUUCUAAAAUUCUGAAUUUAAUUCUAAAAAAUAAUUUACCAAACACUCUGUUAAAAAAAAUCACUUUUGGCGAUAAAAUCAUUUUCCAAAAUUUAAGCCAAGUAAUUAACACCCACUAAAUCACUCAAAAACCCUCUCUCACGACACCUCCUCCUCCUCCGGUCCUUUCGCCACUCUCCAUUUUUCUAAUCAAAACUCUCUCUUAGAAUUCUUGAUGUGCAUUCCAAUUUUCAUUUCAAAAAUAAAUCAAACACUUUUGAAUAAUUCGUCGUUCUAUUUUUUAUUUCAAAACAAUCUAAUACUAUUUUUCAUUUCUAUUUCAAUCAUAAACUAAGCGUAUGUUCUGAAUGUAUUAAAUAAUUUAUGUCUUUGAUCUAUCAAAAAGUUCUGAACAUAACAGAAUGUUUAAAAUCAAGAUAAACCAAACUGGAGGGCCAGACCGACAUUAGCACGGGGCCCAAAUUAAACCAGACACUAAACAUUAAUUUAGGCCUUUGUUCGGUAGAAAUGGUGCCCCAAAUUAGUUGCUUCUCUCGGGCCCAACAUACCUAACUCUUUGUAUUGAUUUCAUUGCAACUCUCUACAGAGUUGAGCUCCUACGCUUUAUUGCUUAUAAUUUUUCGGCUGCUGAAUCAUCUCAAAAUUCGUACUAUACUAUUAAUACUAUGUUUCGUUAAAUUUUUUUUAUUAACACUGUACGUAUUUUAAAACAAUUCGAUAGUUAAAAAAAAUUUAAGCAUAUCUCUAGGGGGGCUUUUUGCAGGGGAAAAAAAGAGAGCCACAUGAUUAAUAAUGGUAGGCAAGGAGCUGUUCUUGUCACAGAAGAACCUUUCAACUAUUAAUAGCCGGUCCCUGUCGGCCAAUGACCCCAAGCAUCCUUCUACCUAGGGAUGCAAACGGGGCGGAUCCGGAGGGGGAGCUCCACCCCGAAUUCAUGAUGGGUUAAAAAAAUAUAUCUCAUAAUCCGCCCCGCCUAGUAAUCCGCCUCCCGCCUGCGCCCCGAAUUCGUCCCACAAACUAAUAUUUUUUAUAAAAUUAUAAUAUUAUUAAUAUUUUAUAAAAUAUAAAUUAAUAAUUUUUAAUAAUAUUUUAUAUAUAAUUUAAUAAUAUUAAUUAUAAAAAUAAAAAAUAUUAAUCACAAUUCAAAACAAAAAUUCAAAAGUUUCAAAUACAUUAGAAAUGAGAGUACUAACUUAUUUGUAUUUUGAACUUUUUUGCAAAUACAUUAUUUUUUAGAAAUAUUUUUUUACGGAUUCGAGGCGGAUCAUGGCGGGGCGGAUUCAGGGUCAAAAUUUCUCCUAUUUCCUGUCCCGAAUCCGUCUCGGAUCGUAAAAUUUAUUCCGUUUCCUACCCCGAAUCCGUUUAUUUUCUCCCAUUUACUGCUCCCGUCGGGGCGGAUCGGGGCGGGGGCUCCACCAACCCAGAUCCGUUUGCAUCCCUAUUCUACCCCUGAGAUACUACUGCAUGCACCCGGUGCAUAGUCCACCACACACUCUUUAAAAUUAAAAAAUUUAACUCAUCAAAUAUAUUCUGUGAUAUUCAAAAUAUCUUUGCACUAAUAAGAAGGGCAAAAUGUAAAACUCAAGGAAGUAGAUCAUUCAUGUAAAAAGUGCAUGAAUCGAGUUGUAACAUUGAGAUAGUGCAACCAACCGUUCCUAACACAAGUGGCAAAAAAUAUAGUUGUUGGUACCUGAGGUCCCAAAAUCGAGAUAGUGCAGUGACUAUACAUAAUUAUCUUAAUAAUAAUGUGGGCCUCUUGGGACUAGAUGCCUUAAUGAGUUUUCAAAGACUAUCAUUUAUAAUAAUAUAAUUUAAAUUAAAUUUUAAUUUUAAAAUAUUAUUAUUAAAUAUGAGCUUUAUUAGGGGGCAGCAAAAUUUUGAGGCCAGAUCAAAAUCGGGUCAGACAUCUAUUCCGUGUGUCUAAAUUCAGUUUGGAUUUGAAUUUCGGACAAAAAUAUUGUGCGCGAGUCAAAAUCCACGAUUUAAUAUCAGGCAUCCGGAUCCAAAUCCGGUUAGAUUUUUUUAAGCUAAAAUUCAAAAAAUAAAAAUAAAAUUUUUUUUUUUAUUUUAAACUUCUAAAUAAAAAAUAUCGUAAUCGCAUAGACAGGUUAUAUACACUUAAUUAAAUAUUAACAUAAUAAAAUUCAAAUAGAAUCUAAUUGUCUAGACCCGUGCCAGGAUCUUAAUAAUUAGUUUGGACGAAAUAAUCCGUCUGUGCCCGAUUUCUAGAUGGAACUCUUAAUUUGUCCGGAUCCGAUUUUUUUUUUUUUUUGAAUCCGAUAAGUCAACCGGGUCGGGUUGUAUUUUACCAUCCGUAAUUAAGUUCGGUGUAUGAAAUGUAGGAAUACACCCGGUGCACGCAAUAAUUAAUUUCUCCCUCACCCUCCUACCUAUCUACUCCUCUAGUGCUCAAUGGAUCACAUUAAUUCCCUGCCCAACUGGGAGUCCUACGUCUAAAGAUUCAGCUACACCUAAAAUUUCUCAGCAAAAAUGAGAGGUGUAAACGUGGAUAUGAUAUGUUGUAAUACAAUCUUAAUUAAGAUGGAGUACUAUUAUAUUAUAUAGCUUAAUUUGUUCUGUGUUUUAUUUUUUUUCACUCUUGUUAAUAUGGCGGGGAUGCUCCCCGGCGUCGAAUUCGCCCGCAAGCGGAGGCUUCGCGGCCAAGGCGGCUCGGCAGAGCUGCCGUCGGCCGGUUCGCGGCGAUCGCCGUUUUGUCAAUACAUGGCUGGAUAUGAUCAGGCUCACCUUACAACCAAUUCAAUGGUAAAUUAUCAUCUUAAUUGUAUAGAUAUAACUCUUUUAUUAUUAUUAUUAUUAUUUUAUAUAUAUAUAUAUAUUUUUUUUAUUUUUGUGGUGAUUAGCAGCGAAAUAGCUUGAGCAAAGAGCUUCACGAUUGGAGGCUAGGAAGCACAGCACGGGAGGCAAAGGAGAGGUUGGAUGAGAAGCUCAGAAGUCAGAGAGCGUCCAUCAUCGAAAGGUCUCAUGUUUAAAAUUCAUUCAAAUAUGGGGUCUAUAAAUAACUCUGCACGAUUAUCAGAAUUGGAUUGAAUAGGAUAAGAAAAAUAUUUCGCUUAAUUACAAACUAUAUAUAUAUAUAUAUAUACAACUCAAUAUAUAAUUUUGUUUUAAUCUUGAAAUUAUAACUCAUGCUUGUCUUGUCGGGAUAAAUACAGUAAGAUUACAGUAUUGGAAAGUGAGAAAGAGCUGAAUUAGUCCCAACUUUUUUGAUUACUACUAAAAUUUUCAUAUUUUUGAAGCAACAAAUAUUAUUUGCAAUUGAUAACUAUUAGUUGUAAUAAUAACUUUUUGCAGCUAACAAGAUCGUUGCAAAUUAUUUCAAUAAAUUUUGUAGUAAUAAAAGACUAAUUAAACAAAAUAAUUUUGUAUAUUACUGUGGCACAAAUUGUUGGAAUAAAUUAUAUAUUGCAACAAUUCAAUUUUUGAUGCAAUCAGGUUGAUACAAUAGAAUGAAAUUAUUGUUGUAGAUGGCAUCCUAAGUUUAGAAUUACUAGACUCCUCUUCGUCUCUAAUAAUAUAUAUCGCUCGCUUAUCUUAUUCUAACUAAUAUGAUCCUGAAUACCAAAUGCGCUCUAAAGUAAACUUGUAAUACCUGAAUAGUCUCAUGCAUAUCAGAUGAAAAAAUAAUUUUGAUUGGAUUAUUAAUUAAGAAGCCUCGUAUCUUAAUAAUAAUAAAUGAGAGCUUAAGUAUUUUUGACCGGUGGUUUGAAUCCAACAAAUUAUUAUUACAUUUUAUUUUAGAGAUAAAUAGCAUGCUACCGCUUCGUUUAUUUCAUUUAGAAAUAAACUUAGUUAGAAAUGUAAAUCAAUUAGGAUUUGAACUUGGGAUCUCGGAUACCAACCACCAAGUCCUUUGCCACUUGCACUAGAUAUAGUUGGUAACGAGUUAUUAUUACUAGCGGGUUAGGUCGUUGCAAAACUAGCUUCUUCUCAAUACUUAUGCUAGUUUUCUUAUUUCUUAUACAUGUACAACAACAGGCAUCACAGUACGGGGAGCUUAAGAUCCAAUAAGACUUCGAGUCGCGGUUGCAGCGGCAGCAGCGAUGACGGAGGCGGUGUGGCGCCAUCGGGAGUCGGGAGUCUACAGAGAGAAGUUUACUCGGUGAGGAAGAGCGCGAGGAGGUUCAACUGGAGCAAGUUGGGGUGGGAGGCGGCGGAGAAGGCGGAGUGCGCGGUUUGCCUGGAGGAUUUCAGGAGGGGGGACAUCCUCGUCCACCUCCCCUGCGCCCACCGCUUCCACUGCAGCUGCGUCGUGCCAUGGCUAGAGACCACCCCGCACUGCCCCAUCUGCAGGACGUCGAUCUUCGCCUAACUAUCAAUUUUUCCGCAUCGUGCCUUCGAACAUUCUGUGCAUCGAUAGUUUUUUUUUUUUUUUUUGAGAGAUAGGUAGCACGCUAUCCGCUUGGUUUAUUUCAUUUGGAAAUAAACUUAGCUGGAAAUGUGAAUCAAGUAGAAUUCGAACUUGGGUCUCGGAUACCAACCACCAAAUUCUUUGCCACUUGUUCUAGGGACGGUCGAUUGUGCAUCGAUAGUUUUAUAAAGUAAUUUACUAUAGUUUGAAGAGCUUGUGAGGUUAGUGUAGUUAGCAUGCAUCUAAGAGUGUUGGCUUUGGGAGAAAUGGAUGAAUGUGCUUAUUUGCCAAAAAAUAAUGAUAGUAAAAAAAAAAUUUAAAAAAAAAUCUUGAUCUAUGAUCUACUAGUUGAUGCUUUAAUUGCUCCUGUAUUGCGUUCGAAUUAUUGUAGUCUAGCUUGUGCACGUUUUCUUGAUCCAUUGCAUGCUUUUCACGUGAUCAUACUUUAUAUUACUUUUAUUUUUUAUUUUAUUAUUAUUUUUUAAUAAGAGUAGAGAAAUUUCACCCUAAGCAAUGGCUUGACGUGGUGGUGUUAUAUUCAUAUUUUGCCUACGCAUAGCUUCUUUAGCAACAUAUAAUUAUAAUUUAGGCUUAUUUUUAUUUUUAUGCACUAAUCUUAUAUAAUUGGAUAUUGUGUAUUUUUAUUUUCUAGAUCAUUUUGAGAAUUGAACCCGAUCUUGGCCUUAAAACCUAUGAUCUUGCGUGCUCGUUUCUUUAGUUACGGGGGUAUUAAUCCUAUAUUAAGAAAGUUUUGGGAGAUUUUACAAUUAAAAAUAAGGGGUUAAUUACACUAGGGACCCAAUUGAAAAUUAAUAAAAGGGUUGAUACUUUCCAAAUUACAAUGCAAAUAAAAUAAGUGAUCAACGAUCAAAAUUGCGCCUCCAAUCUCUAAUUUGUUACUGCACACUUCAUCUGAGCACGCUCAAACUAGAAGCAUUGCUUCGACCAUAUCAAGCCACGCCAUCUUAAACAAAGUGGUCCAAAUGAAUGCAUCCAUUAUUAUUACAAACAGUAGCAGUGGCUUUAGCAGAUUCCUGAUCGUGACGACUUUAGAGAGGAUUCAAUCGAGGAAUUGGGAGGACGAUGUAAGAUUCGUUUGGGAUACGUGGAUGGUAGGGAGCAGUGCACAGCUAGCUCGAACUAGAUUGAUCGGCCUGUUAGUCUGUUGAUGGGUCAUCUAAGAUGCAAGGAACAACGUUGUUUUUAGAAAAACUAACGUUGACCUUUUGUUGGCUAUCGAUAAGAUCGGACGGUUGGCGAUCCAAUGGGAUAAAUCUCUCGUCUAAACGUCAUCUUUCAUUUUCUUUUUCUUUUAACGUUUCAAUCGAGGUCUAUUACCUCACCCCUGGUGCUUAGUCCGUCUUUCUAAUAAAUAAAAUAGAAUUGUUGUUGUUGUUGUUGUUGUGUAACCUAUUUUCUUUCCUUCCUCAAGAGUUUUCCAUCUGAUCUCGGCCGAUAAUGCCCUUUUUUUCUUCUCUUCUUUUCAAAAAUAGAAUAGUUUAGAAAAUACUAAAAGAGCGUGUAAUCUCUACAAUUCUUCAUCCAAAGAUGCUUAAUUACGGUUUAGUAAAGAAUGUAAUAAAUUAGUGGAAUAAAAUGGUGUUUGGACGAGGGUGUUGUAGGAUUAAUUACAACGCCUUAAAUAGUUUUUUGUGUUUUUGUGGCUCUUUUUCAUGUGAACUUAUUGGUGAUUACUUUUGUUUAAUAUUUUUUUCUCAUAUUCUCUUUUCUUUUUUUCUCUCGGGCUCAAUAUUCAUCAGCUCGAUUACUUUGCUAUUUUAGGUAGGCUUAAGUACAUCCUACUACACUGUUUUAGUGUUAUUUUUUUGAAAAAAAAUUUAAAUACACCCCCUCUGUGGCUUAACACUUAUUCACUUUAGUGUCUUACGAUUUAAAGUGUAUCACUUAAAUAUCCUAUAAUUUUAUUUUUUUUCUUUCUGUUAACCAAUAAUAAAGUUAAAACUGCAAGGUAUUACAUAAAAAAAUCAAUAAGCCACAAGAGGUUAUUUGAAGUUUUUUCUAUAUAAAUGUUUGAAAAAUACUUCUUGUACACCCAAAAAAAAGUGUAUAGAUCAUACACCCCCGAUCUUAGAAUUAAUAAAAAUUUUAAUAAUUUUUAGUUAAAAUAAAAAAAUUGAUGUGACAAGUAGAGUAUUAAUAACCUUAGGAUAAAGUGGGUGUAAGAUGUAUACCUCACUUUAGGUGUACAUGUAGCAUUGUUCUGUAUGCUUUAAUGAAAAAAUUAAUGGAGGGCUGAUAGAAAAAGAAAAACGAAUCCAAGGGUGCUAAAAGUGAUGCACUUUAAAUCACAUGGCAUUAAAUUAAGUGAAAAAGACAGUUUUCCCUUAUUUUUAUUUGCUACGCAACAGAAAAUUUUUUUUCGAAUACACCAUUAUAUUAUUAUAUUUUGUCAAUCUCUACACUGUAAUUUAGAUUUAUUUUUAUUUUUCUAAUUUAUAUUAUUUUCUUUUUUCAUAAAUACUACUAAACUAUUUUUUUCACACCAAUUUAUCUAUUACUGUUAAUAAAACUAUUGUUUCAUACAAAAUUUAACAACUUUAUUAAGAGGUACUAGCUAAAUAAUAGAAAAAAUAUAAGAUAUCUCUAUGAUAGACUCAUUAAAUUUUUCAUCCAAUUAUUUUCAACUAUUUUUAUGUUAUUUUCAUAUAAUUUAUAUUUUGUGUCAAAAAAAACUGAAUUUAUACUCUACCACUUUGAACCAAUAUAUUUUACCAGCUUUUAUAAAAAAUUAUAGAUUUAUUGCAUAUAGUGCAGGGAUUGAAACAAGAAAAGAUAGUUGAGUGUAGGGGUGUAAACGAGCCGAACACGAGCGAGCUAGGGUCGGCUCGGGCUCGUUUAAUAAAUGAGCCGAACACGAGCUGGCUGUUAAAUAUCGAUCCGAAAAAUUCAGCUCAUGUUCGCGGCUCAUUAAUAAACGAGCCGAACACGAGCUGGCCAACGAACAAUAUAGUUAAAAUGAAUUAGAUAAAUAUAUAUAUAAAAUAAAUUUAGAUAAAUCCUACUUCAUUACGGCUUUGAUCUCAAUAGUUGCAAACUUUACCACUAUAACUGCGUUUUUCUUAUACUUCAAGCGCUUUUCAGCAUAUUAUAUGUUUCAUUUUUCGCUAACAAAUUAAAUACAAUACAAAAUUAUUAUUCUUAUAAUAACUCUACUUUUUAUACUAGAAAACAUAUUAAACUAAAUCAUACUACUACCAAUAUACAUAUAUCGUUACUUCGACUGUUAUCGAGACCAACACCAAGCGAGCGUUGACCCAACUCGUGUUCGGACUUGUUUAUUAAACGAGCUGAAAAUUCAGCUCGUGUUCGGUCGUUUCUACUAAACGAGCGAUUCAUCUCGAGCUCGUUUCGAGCCGAACCGAGCUACACGCGGGUCGACCGCUUGACGCUCGGCUAGCGAACAGCGAGCUGGAUUACCACCCCUAGUUGAGUGGUAUCUUUGAAACAAAAAAAAUAAUACAGUACCAAAAGUAAAAGAUUUGUAAAAACGGUGCAGUACAAUAAAAUUAAGCCUUUUAGAUUUAUAGGUUUGAGAACCCAUCGUUCUAUCGUUUUCUUCUCCUGCAUUAUUAAAUUUGGGAGUUUAAACUGUUAGAAAACGGUGUUUAAAUAUUUUUAUAUUUAACACUUAUUUAACACUCCCCCUCACGUCUGGACUCGAGACUUUUUAGUCGGCCCAUGACGUGGGCUUGAAUUAAAUGGGAGAAAAUUAAUAUGCUAAGAGCCUGGCGUGACUCGAACUUAGGACCUCCUACUUCGAUACCCUACUUCGAUACCAUGUGAAACAACCGUUGUACUCUAAAGGCUUAAACUGUUAGAGAAUAGUGUUUAAACAUUUUUAUAUUUAACACUUAUAAAUUAAUCUCCUAAUUGGGGCAUGCAAUUAAAAAAAAAAACAUUUAAUUUGUAAUUCGUUCCAGCAGAAAAAUAACAUUCAAUCAAAAAAAAUACUUUAAUAAUUGCAUAGAAAUAUAAGAAUAAAAUUUUUCGUACAUAGUAAAAUGAUAUUGAUUUGAUACAUAUCCUAGGUGAUUAUCUACUGUAAAGAAGAUUUUUUAUGAACAAAUUAUGACUCCAUAACAAAAAGUGUUCGCCAAUCCCUCACAAUAUGCCCUCAUUUUAUGUAAUGAUUCAAAGUAUUGUAUAAAUUUAUCAAUAUAUGCACAACAGAUAGAAAACUAUUUUAGGAAAACAAAGCAUUUUUUUUACAUAAUACUUUUAAAGUGCCCAUUUGGCGCCCAUUGUUGAAUUGGAAUAUUAAGAGAAGAAUAUUUUAGUAACUUUAAAAGCUUAUCAAAUUCGAUUAGACAGAAUAAUUAUCCGGAAAUACGUACAAUUAUCAAUUGGUUCAUACUUUUGAUCCGCGAUAAAUUAAUCUUCGUAUUGAAUCAGGGUUGUAGUGUGAAUAUGCGUAUAUACAUAGACGUCUAAAUAACUGAAUAAUUUGUUUUUUAUUUUAAGAAAAAGAUAGCAUGUUAUCCGCUUCGUUUAUUUCUUUUAGAAAUAAACUUUGCUGAAAUUUUGAAUCAACUAAAAUUCGAAUAUUUUAGUAACUUGAAAAGCUUAUCAAAUUCGAUUAGACAGAAUAAUUAUCCAGAAAUACAAUUAUCAAUUGGUUCAUACUUUUGAUCCACGGUAAAUUAAUCUUCAUAUUGAAUCAGGCUUGUAGUGUGAAUAUGCUUAUACGCAUAGACGUCUAAAUAACUAAACGAUUUGUUAUAUCUCUCUUAUCAAAAGAAUAUCGUCGUUUACAGCUAAAUUACAAAAAUAUUGAUCCUAAACUGAACGUACAUAGUGCAGUUGGUUAAGAACUUGAUAGUUGAUAUCGGAGGUCCCAACUUCGAAAUCUCGUUGUUUUACAUUUCUUGUUGACUGUGUCUUUUUUUCCGGGAGAAAAAUAUCGCAUAGAUUUCGUUCCUACCAACCAUCUCAGACAAUUACUUCAGUUUGAUUUAAUACUUUAUUUUUAUCCUAAAACGUGGAAAGAAACAUUUCAAAAACAAAUUGACAAAAAACGUGUCAUAUAAUAUGACUCUAUUGCUUCAAUUUAAUGUUAAAAUCUAGUUCAAUCACUCUCAAGCUAAGCUAUAUCCAUCUUCCUAAUGAAAGAGUACGUGUUCCAAUGAAAUUGUAACACAAUUUUAUAACUUUUUUCAUAAGUAACUGAAAUUAUGUAGAGAAGAGUACAAAUCAAGUUAUUUCACGUUCCAAGUAAUUGAAAGGUAUUGAGCAAUGAGGAAGUGACCUAUUCAUACUAGGCGGCUAGUUUUAAUGGAAAGAUACUGAGUUUGUUCGUGAUAAUAAAUAAUUGAGGUAGGUGGAUUGAGAUAUCUAUUUAUAUCUCUAUAUUAAUUUUGGCUAAAUUACAUAAAACACCCCUGUCAAAACCAGAUUUUUCACUUUCCCCCCUUGUCAUUUAAAAACCUACACUUUGCUCCCUUGUAAAAUAAAAAAUGUUCACAAGGGGGGUACGGUGUAUAAAAUGACCAUUUUGCCUCUCACCAUUUUCGUCUCCUCCCUUAUCUUCCUCAACCGCCGCCUCGAUCGGCCGCGAUUCACACCUCGAUUGGCUGCGAUUUCUCUCCAUUUUCUUCUCCACCUACUCCCCUUCUUCUCCUGCACCCUCGCCGCCCCUCAAUUUCGGCGACAAUAGGGAGGAAAUCGAGGUGGGCGCUGAUGGAGAGGUAGGCAAGGGCAACGAGGGCGAAGGCGAGGCGGCGGAGAAGGGCGAAAGGGAUGUAGGCGAGGGCUAGGACGAGGGCGAGGCCGAGGCAGUGGAGGAGGGCGAGGCGGCGGCGAAGCGGCGAGCCAGAGGGAGGCGAAGCAACAGGGAAGAGGGCGGAAGGGUAUUUUUGGUAUAAAAAAAUAUUUUAUAAUGGAAUCCUAACGGAUCACUAACGGUAGGGACUGAAGUGCACAUUUUUAUUUUACAAGGGACAAAGUGUAGGUUUUUAAAUGACAAGAGAGAAAAGUGAAAAAUCGAAUUUUGAUAGGGGGUUUUCUGUAAUUCAGCCUAAAUAUUUAAUAAAAAUUGUUGCGUGAUAUUUUUUUCUUUACUUUUGGUUGUGGGUUCCGCCGGCCAGUAAUUCAUGUUUUGAACCGAACCGUCUGAACCGCCCGUCUCUUCCUCCUUUUCUAUUUUUGAACUAAAUCGAGCUACUUUAUAAUACACUAUGUGUUAAACUCGAUUUUUCUCCGUCUUAGAAGGAUUCCUUGAUUGGCUCCUUCUUUGGACCAAACCGGCUCAACUUUUACCCUUUUUCUUUCCUUUGUUGAAUCGAAUCUGCCUACCUUAUAAUGCACUCUGCGUUGAACCCAGUUUUCUCUUCUUUAGAUUGUUUUUUUUUAUCUUCUCUUUCUUUGAGCCUAGCCUAUCACUUAUUACCCCUUCUUUUCUUUCUUUUGGGGAGAUAUUUUUGUAUGAUUAUAGCAAUUAGUGCUUUUGAGUGUACAUAUUUGUAAUGGCAAAAUUGAUAUUUCACUUAUCUGUUGUUAAAAAAUAAAUAGUUCUAUAGCGGUAACAAGCCGAAGGGACAAAUGUGAAUAUUACUAGAAAUAUGAGUUAAAAGUUGAAGUUUGUAGGGAUAUAUUUAUUAUUAGAUAUGUUUACAGAAAGCUGUAUGCAAUUAACCCUAAUUAAUAAUAAUAAUAAAGACUUUAACCACUGUUAUCUUAAAUUAAAAAAAUUAAUUUAAAAUUAAUCGCACUUACAUCUUGUUUUUUUGUAGUUUAAUUAACGAGUUUAAUUAAAACUAAAAUAGUUAAUUAAAACCGAAUAAACCAAACAGAGAUGAUCAAUUUAUUUCUCUUUGUUUCAUUUCAAUUUUUUUUGUUUAAUUUUUGUUAAAAGAAUUAUGAUUAUUGAACCGAACCGACAAAUGUUCACGCUUAAUUGAAUUCAUUAUAGAGCUCUAAUAUUAGUACACUCUAAAGAGUGGUGUAUAUUUUACACCCUCUUCAUUAAGGACCAUUAUUCUCUUAAUAAUACUUCUCAUAUUAAUAUUUUUUUUAACUAAAAUUUAUUUAAAAUCUUAUGAACUCGGAACUAGUAAUGCUUAAGUUUAAGUAAUCUUUUGUGAGACUUUUAAUUGAUUCAAGAUAUAUAUUUUAAAUAAAGCGAGAGAAUCUUAAAUAAAAUUAGAAGCUUAGUGGGAUUUAAAUUCAGAAUCUCAUAUUCUCUGUCUAGCAUUGUGAGAAGUUUUGACCUAGAAGUUGAUUUCGAUAGGAGUUGAUUAUUUGAAAUCAAAAGUCGAUUCUACAUAAAAUACUUUUAUUGUGAAAAAUGUUUGGCUACCCAAUAUAUAUAUACUAGAAGUUGUUGUAUAUAUUUUAUAAGUAAUUUAACACAUUUGACACUAAAUUAAAAAGCUAUAAAUUCAAAUUUUAAUUCUUAUAUUGUUUGAUUAAUUAAAAAUGAUAAGUGAAUAGCUUUACCUUUUGCAAUUGGCAUUCCUUAACUUCUUCUUUUUUUUUAGUUUGAGUAAUAUUAAGUGCUUAAUUUAAAAGUUUUCCGAAAUUUAUUUAUUCGAUUAGCCAUUAGCCUUUAAUUGUUUGGAUUUUAUUUGCUGAGUGGUAAUUAAAACUAUUAAUUUUUUUCAAAAUCAUCAAUAAAUUUUACUUUUAACAAAAACUAUUUAAUUUUAAAAAAUUAGGAGUUCGAAGGAUGUCAAUAGAAAAUAUAGAGUUGAGGGGCUAUAGUCAAAAGAGUCCCCGUACAUUUCUAUCAUUAAUAGGAUUUAUAAUUUUUAAGGAUAUAUUUUAAUUAGUACUAAUUCCCAAGGAUAAAAUUUCGCCAUUUAAAAUAACUAUUAUUAGAUUCCUUUCAAAUGCUAUUGUAGAACGCAUCGGAAGUAUUCGUUCGUACUUUUUUGCGGAAGUGAUUCGCAUUACAACUCGAUGAGCCCGGAUUAUCGAGAUUGAUUCACGUGUCCUUUGAUCGUUCUUUAUUAAAUCUUCUCACGUUUCAAACUCGCGAUGGAUCGAACUACAAACGAGCACGAUCACAAAUCCACCAUUUAAGUCCCUCUUAGAAUAAUAGGUUGAUGGAGAAUGUGGUUUCUCUCUUUCGUUUUUUUAUUCUCUUUUCUUUUUCCGUUAUGUGGGAUCGCCCGCAUAUUUAUAAGGGAUUCUAAAAUCCUAAUGGCGUUAGAGAUAAAGCCAAAUCGGUUAUUAAUUGUUAUCCUAAUAUGACUAGGAUUUAUCUCUAACUAACUUUCUAAUUUGAAAGCGAGAUUAAUUCCAAUCCAAUUAGAUAACAUAAUAUCCGUCGGAUCGAAUCUGUUUAUGGACGCACCCGAUUCAAUUUAACCGAAUGUCAACAACUAUAAUCAGUGUUUGCUCGAUGCUAGGAGGGGUAGCUUUAAAUACGCCACAAAAUUUAUUCUACAAGUUAUCAAACACUUCAAACAAACACUUUUGACUCUGUACUUUUUGAACUCCAAAAUUUAACUCAAACAGGCACAUCCUAUAAUAUUAGGUAAAAUAAUCUAAAGAAAUUAGAAGACAAUACUUUAUUAAUAUGCUUUUAAAAUACUUGUACAAUUAAAGAAACACUUUUCAUUCCCAUAUUGUGAAGGACAUUAUAACCAUAUACUCAAUAAAUUAAUAAAUUUCUAAAAUAUCAAUUUGUGUUUGGUGCGGUUGGAUUGUCUUUUUGAUUCCCAUAUAAUGGUUUUGAUUCAUUAGGUUAAUUGAACUAACUCGAUGUGGUCUGGUUUGACACUUCAAUACAAUCAACUAUUUAAAAGUAUUUAAGGUUUUACAUGAACAAGAUUCGGUAUCAAAAGAGGAAACUAGUGCUCAACUUCUCUUAAUCCUUGGUAGUCUUUUGUGUGUUCAUUUGUGUAAACAUAAUUUGGCCUCGAAACAUUUUGGUGGGCUCAAAAUUUACAAUUGCAUUAAGCAAGAGAAACCAUCAAUUAAAUCAAUAUAUAGUUAUAAAUCAAUAUAUAGCUAUAUCGAGCUGAACACAAGCGAGCUAACCCCAGCUCGUAUUCGGCUCAUCAAGAUUUUAAUUGAAAAAUUCGCUCGUAUUCGGCUCGUUUAUUAAACGAGCAAUCAAUCUCAAGCUCAUUUUUGAACUAAAAAUGAGUUGGCUCGUGAAGAGCGAGCUAUAUUCCCAGCCCUAAUCACAACUAUACUUCAACGUUAUAUCUUCUCUUUAGUGAAAAUGAUUACAAAACAAAAUCACAAGGCGCUAGUAUUAAAAUGUUCCAAACUAUAGAGUCCUGUUGAAGUUAUAUUUCUUAGCUAAAUUUAGAAGUUUCCAUGUUAUACAUACUUCUGACUGCUACAGUGUUGACCUUAUUUUUCCAUCUUCUACUCCACAAAAGUUUCCAAUUAACUACCAAAUUCAAACACUAAAAAACAAGUGUCAAUACAUAACAUGGUCUUAUUUUCUUUUUUCUUCUUUCUUUCUUUUACAAAUAAACUUAGCUAAAAAUAUAAAGCAAUUAGACUUCGAAUUUAAAAUUUUAGGUAUCAACUAUUAAAUUCUUUGCCACUUACACUAGAAACGAUUGAUUUGUUUUGAUAGUUUAUUUAUUUGCUUACAAUGCCCAGUUGUGCAUUAAGUUUCAUUUACAAUCAUUUCGUUCAGUUUAUAUUGCACUGCACGAUGACUACGAGAUAUGGAGGAUUAAGUUUUACAGCACACAGUAGGAAUUCUCUAUACAUAGGAAUUGUCUGAUGUUUGCACUUGGCAUGUACUCAAACAGCAACGGUCGUUAUCUGUUAAAUAUAAAAAUAUUUAAACACCGUUUUCUAAUAGUUUAAGCUUUUAGAGUACAACGGUUGUUUCACAUGAUAUCAGAGUAGGAGGUCCUGAGUUCGAGUCACGCCAUGCACCUAGCAUAUUAAUUUCCUCCCGUUUAAUUCAAGCCCACGUCAUGAGCCGACUAAAAAGUCUCGAACCCAGACGUGAGGAGGAGUGUUAAAUAUAAAAAUGUUUAAACACCGUUCUCUAAUAGCUUAAGCUUUUAAAGUACAACAGUUGUUUCACAUUAUCGAAGCCGUCGGAAAAUAACUAUUCAUCCAUUUUGUUGUUCAGAAAAUAAACCACUCAUUAGUGUCAAAAUAUAAUCUGUUUAAUCAUUCGACAGAGGCAAUUAAUUGGUAGCUUACAACAAAGAGUGAAUAAUGUAAUAACAAUUAAUAUGGGAUGAGCUCGGCUUUCCAGAAUGGGACAACUUGAUCUCGCCGUGAAGAUGAGAAACGAAUACAUCAAAAUAUAAAAGAAAGCAUGGGAAGUUUGAUCAGCAUCAGCAUCCGACGCGGAACCACCUCCUGUACAGCCUGGUCCGUUCCGACCGCCUCUUCUCGCUUCGGUACAUGGCACUUGCUCGUUUCUCUGCUGUGCCGCUCAUAGCUUCUUUCGGAUCCUUCGCCUGCAGAAAAUUAAACUAAGAAUAGAGCCAAGUGUAUAACCGAGAGUGCAUGCAGUUAUCUCGAUCGAUCGAUCACCUUGGAUUUUGGCUUGUGGGCAUGCAGCUCGCGAGCGCUUCUCUGGAAAAUGCGGCCAGUCUUCCAGGUUCCUCCUCCUAUGACUCUGCCGCCGCCCGAGCAGACAGGCUCCUGCUCCUGCUGCUGCUGCUGCUGGUGCUGCUGCUGCUGUUCUGCUUGUACGAAUACUGCCGGAAGCACGCACGAAUUAGCAUGCUCUCUGGACGUGCUCCCUGCAGCUGCAGUACUCAUGCUCCCACCUUUAUCCAAUUCGAAACUCAACUGCACGCGCCAGCGAUACAUAGCAAAUGGAGGGUCAGAUCACAUAUAUAUAUAUAUAUAUAUAUACAUAUAUAUAUAUAUAUAUAUAUAUAUAUGUAAGAUAUGUAUAUAUAUGUAUAUAUAUAUAUAUGCACGUAGUUCACCUGGCGGAUUCGGGACUCGAGCAAGUGGAGUCGGUCAGUGAGGGUCCCCUUGAGAUGCAGCUGAUGAUGAGGAAAGGCCGACGGCAUGGACUUGCUGUGGUGGUGGUGGUGCUGGUGGUGCUGGUGCUGGUGGUGCUGGUGUCGACGUUCUGCGCCCUCACCGCCAGCGGCAGGCCUUUCCUGCACCAGCUCUGCGAUGAAGUAGUUGUUGGACUGCGCUUCCGGCAGUGGGACUGGCACCCGCUGCUUCUCUUCUAGCUGCCUUAACUGCCUCCGGUUAAUCAAUCGUUGGUUGUUAAUAAUUAAUAAAGAGAGAAGAAACAAUGAUUAUAUAUGAAUGUCUUAAACACAUGCAAUAAAUCAACAAAAGGGAGGGCGGGAGUAGUGUCUAGUGUCGACCCACCCGAUGGUCUAUCUGCUCCAGCCUCCCUAGCAGGCUGUCCGGUGGAGGAGGGAGAGCGAAUGCUCCGCUCUGCAGUGCCGCUCUUCUCUCCGCUCCGAGCACUAGUACAUCACCCAUCUUUCUUUCUUUCUUCUCUAGUUCUCUCUUUCGAGAUAGAGAUUGAGAUAGAGAUUGAGAUUGAGAUAUAAGAAGGUGAUGCAAACAAAGCAGGGAAACUGGGAGAUAAAGACGGGUCGUGGACCGGGCUGGGUCUCUGCUCUUCGUCUCUUGCCUGCAGGAACCCUUUUUCAGAUCCUAACUUUUGGGGUUGUUGCAGUCAAGACGAGAGAGACAAAGGAGGGAUGCUGAAUCACACGUGGCAGUGUGGCUCUUAAAACUAUAAAACUUUCUAUUUAUUGUCAUGGUUGAUUGGCUGUAAGAUUAGCGCGAUCAAAUAAUGGACGAUGGCUUCCUAAAAAAAUCUGGCUAAAAUUAUUAGUUUAAAAUUUUUAUUUUUUGUUGCCAAAUAAAUACUUUGAAUGUUAAAAUUAUACACACAAAUUUUAUUUAAGAAAUAAUCCAACAACAACAAUGUUAACCAAGGCCUAAAAGUUACAAAUUGGGCCAAAUAAUAAUUCGUUGAAUCAUUACGUAUGAUGCUAGAAUUCUCAAAUGACCAUUGCAUUUAGAUCUUGCCGUGCUCAAUAGACACCUUUUCUUUCCUCUUUUUUUCCUUUUUUUUUUUUUUUUUCCUUUUCAGAGAGGGACCUCUUCACUGCCCAAAAUACUAAAACUCAAGCACAUGAUUGGUGGGAUUCCCAAAAAAUAAGGUCAUCAAGCAGUUUGAGCGCACCAAAUAAAAGUUCUUACAGACUUGCACCAUCAAUAAAACAUAAAACUUCUCCAACCUUUAAUUCUAGCUUACAACAAAAAGAUCUUAAGCAUUACUGCAAACAAGAAUCAUUUGCAUUCACCUAACUUCAACCUACUCAGUGAUUUAAAUCCAACCCAAUAAAUCAAGGUUGAUCUCACAUGAGCCAUGCAUGUUUUCUCCUUUUUUUUUUAUGCUUACAUUCGUGUGCUCGAAUCGAUACAAUGCAGCCUGUGCACUAUCACCUCCCUAUUGUGUGGAAACCUCAGUUCCAAAUAUGUUACUUCUGAUACAGCAAGCAGAUACAGUUAGGCAGCCUUUCCACAGUCUACGAAGCUUCCGGGAUUGACAGUUAUGCUUUUAGUGCAAUUGUGUGUCUUGUAUAUACCAACAAGUCGAUCGGCUAGCUCAAACAUAUUGUUUCUAAGGCUGCACAUCAAUGUGUAUUCACAGAGGGAUGUUAGCAAGGAGAUAUGAAAGCUGCAGCAACAGAUACUAAUAAUCAAAAUUCACACAUGGCAGGGAGGCAUCAUACCUAAUGAUAAUAAACUGAGCAUCUCUAGUCCUGUCUUUCACAUAAUGCCCAACAAUAGAAACAUUCUUAAAAUCUGAAAAGAAGCAUCCACACCAUAAUAACAAAAAAAGAAAUAUAGAAAAAUGUGGCGUUACAUGGGCACGAAUGAGUAGAGAGUUUUUACCUAAUGCAGCAUCAAUCUCAUCCAUGACAUACAAUGGGGUGGGUUUGUAAUGAUGAAGGGCAAACACAAGAGCCAGGGAGCUAAGCGUCUGCAAGAGGAUUCAGCUUUGAUCAAUGGUAUAUUCUUACAUCAAAAAUAACACAAGUCAGAAACAAAUUCUGCUAGGCUGAUGUCUCGUAAUAGAAAAUUGAUCAGCCAACGAAAUAAGAUAUAGACACUUCUAAAGGCACCCUUCAUGCAUUUGUAGGCGAGCAUUGACUAAUUAAUUCCCUUCCAAUUUUAUGCUACGUAUUUGGAAUCUAAAAGGGCUGAUAGUGUUAUAUUAAUUUUAAAAAACAGGUGAAAAGCAGAAGUAAUUAAAAGAAAAAAAAGAAGAAAAUUUGGUUUAUCUUAACAUUCUACCAGACAAAGGAAAACCAGAAGAUGAAAGAGCAUCAGAAGUAGAUAGUACCAUUCUACAUAAAGAUCUAAUUUGAUGACUUACUCGCAUGUCAACUAUAAAGGCAUCAUACAAAGUAAUCAAAGCAUAAAAAUAGAAUCCAGGAAGUGCGAGAACAUGCCUUCUCACCACCCGAUAGAUUAGCAAUAUUCUUCCAGCUCUUCUUUGGGGGCCUCACACUGAAAACUACGCCUUCAGAAAAAGGAUCCAAGGAAUCAACAAGUUCCAAUUCUGCAUCACCCCCAAGAGUAAUCAUCUGCAGUCCAAAUUGUAAAUAAUUAUGUUUGUCAACUUUGCUAUACUUACUGGAUAAUGCAAAUUGUGGUAAUUCUAAUUACGAGUUCUCUUAGUUUGCAGUUAGGAUGAUGAUAAAAAGUUAUCGAACAGUUUCUUUCAAAAACAAAAUCAGGAUGAAAUUAAAAAAAUAAAAAAGCAUGGAUUCUGGUGUAUGCAUCCAGAAUAAGUAAGUUGCUCCAGAGACCUGAUACAUCUCCUUCAACUUCAGGGAUAUUAUGUUGAAUCCUGUCAUGAACUCAUCUAACCUAAAGUGGCAUAAAGAGGACUGAUUAUAUGCAGGAAAUAAUUGAAAUAACAGUGACAGUAAUUGACAUAGACUCAGAAUAUACCAAAACAGGAAAUAAAAGAACACACCGUUUCUUCCUCAACCCAUCAUACAGCUUUUUGAGGUCAUCUCGCUCUUGUGUCACAGAAUUUAGCUCAUCCACGCGUGCAUUGUAUAGUAGAACCUUUUUCCUAUAUCUGGCUUAACAAAGCAGUAACUUGAGUAUUUAAACCAAAAAAAAAAAAAGAGCAGUAAAAGAGAAUAAAUAACACCAUACUCUGCAAUUGAAUCCAAGUUUGGAUUCAUCUCUUUUAUCUGAGCUUCUAGCAAUGCCACCAUCUCCAUUGCUCUUUUCAUAUCACAGGCGUCAUUUAGUGACUCCUCACUAACUGUUGCCUGAAGCUUUUCAGGAUCAACUGCGUCCAUUUGAAUUCUGUUGCCAGCAAAAGUCUGAUUAGGAAAAAAUACACUUGGGUAAUAUAUAUUGUGCUGUUAGAUGAGGCAAAGCUUAAAACUUACUGGUCCAUGUGUUUGACAAGAUUCAAUUGUAUAUCAUCAACCCUUUUUUUGAGCGCCUUCGUCUUCAUCUCCCACUCUUUUGCAAGUUUUUUCGCAUCUUGCAAUUUGUACUCAGCAUCAACCUAUAUAAGACAAAGGUGGCUAUACGUAGACAAAAGAGGGAAAGGAAAGAAAAUGCUCAUACAAAAUCAAGCACAAGAAAAAUAACCUCAGCAGCUCGUAGCUCCUCCAUCAUUUUCUUUAAUUUGUUGUAUUUGGCCUUUGUUUCGUCAAGCACAUCUUUAUGCUUGUCAAUAAGCUACAGACAACAAAAUUGACAAUUUAGUCACAGUAAGAUGACCAAUUAUUUAUUGUUUCGUUCCUAACAAAUCAGUCUUGAGUACCUCUUGAGUUUUCUUAUAGUUUUCCUGAACUAAAAAUGCCUUUUGCUCUAUCUCUUUAAAAACGGACAUCAUCUUCUCUUUCUCCUCCAUAUUUUUCUCUUUUUCUUUCUUCGACUCUUCAAUUCCCUUAGUUAAUUUCUUCACGAAUUUCUCACAUGUUGCUAUCUUAACUUUGUGACGAUUUAUUUCUGUACUGGUUUUGUCAAUUUCCUGGCAAGAGAAAAACGAAGGUUAGGAAAGGUACGAAAGUAGAAAACAAUCUAAGGCAAGUGUACCCACAGAUUGGAUAUUUGUCACUUUUGAUUUCUGAUUCUUUAGCACUUCUCCACCUGCAUUUUCGAUUUUGUUCUGAAGCUCGAAAGCCUGGUAUAUUGAAGAGGCAAAGAUAUAAAUAUUAUGCAAGCUAUCCAGUACAAUUCUGGGUAUUAGUUGAACGAUCAUGUUACAAGGCAGCCACAUAGAAAUCAAAUCUACAGCAAUAUCAUUACAGAGAAAGAACACUCCAAAACUGAGGUAAGGUCUAACCACUCACUCUAUCUUUGAGCUUACUAGAGCAUUUAGCAAGCUUGUCCAAUUCCCUCUGCUCGGCAAGUAUGAUGUGAUCCAACUCCUCCAGUCUGCAAAGAUCAUCCUCUUUUGGCUGUGAAGCAGUUUUCAGCGAACCAAGUCGCUUUUCAUUGUAACUGUAUUGUGCAUUCAAACUGUCUAUCUGUAGAAAAAGAAGACAGAUCUCUGGAGAUCACAAAACAAAUCACACAGAAAAGGAAUAUAGGAAAAGCUAUGUACUUAGUGUCUAUUAUCAACAUUAGAAUUUGUUAUGGCAAACACAUUACGUCGUUGGUCUUUGAACAUAUUGCAAAGUUUCACUUAAGUCACUGAAUUUCAAUUUGCCACAAUUACGCCACUGAAAUUCAAAUUCUAUUUCAGUCGAGUCACUGGUGCAGUAACUAAUUCAUUCAGGCCACCAGUGGCACCCAAAUCAGUUGCCACAGCAACUCAAGAUAUUAUGAUUCCAUUGGCGUGCCAUCUUAACAGAUGACAUAGCAAUCAGCGUCAUGACAUCUUUUUAAGAUGGGGUGGCAACAUGAUAAGCUUAUCAUGCCUUCAUAGGGGAUAUUAAACAGAGUUCGGCACAAUGAUCGGGUUCUAUUGCAUCAAAUCAAAGUUCAGUGACCCAAGUGAAAGAGUGCGCCAGUUCAGUGACAAAUAAUGCAAAUUUACCAAGUUAUUAUAUAUACCUCCUUCCAACUUUUUGCCAACUCCAUUUCAAGAUGGGCUAUCUCUCCUUCAGCAGCCUGAUAACAGCUUCUAGCAUCAGUAAUUCUUUGUCUCAAGAUACUGAGUUGGUCAACAAGUUCCGCAAGUUCCUUUUCAGCAUUUAGAAUAACUUCUCCUGAAACACUUUCCCUAAUAGAUGUACCCAUCUUACCACCUCGAGGCUUGGUUCCACCGCCACUCAUUGUGCCAGACUUCUCAAAAAGUGCACCUUCCAGUGUCACUACGCGUCGAAAUUCUUUAUCCCCACCAUAUGCAAUUCUUGUAGCCUAAAUAUGUUAGAUUAGAGUAGACCUACUGUCAAUUCUUUUUGAAGAUGCACAACUAGUUCCUGUGAAUAUAAUGAAUAAAGAAAGGUAGGGUGAACCUAAGGCUGAAAUACAGAAGAAAAUGCAAUGACAGGUCGGCAUUCGGAUGACUAAACAUGAAGCAUUAAAGCUAAAACGGACGGGUACCAGAACGUGGUUUACACAAAAAAAAGGAAGGUUGUCCCUAAACUAAUCUUCCUAUUACAAGCCUAUACCUUGAUAAAAAUGAUAGCUCGACAGAGAAUUCCUAUUCAUUCAGCACAUUUCCUGCACUAAACAAGACUCGGACCUUUCAUGGAGCAAGCUCCGAACAAGCAAAAUGGUGACAUGGCAACAGUGAAUGAACAUCAAUUCACUCCUAGCAGCCAAACUAAAUGCAUGAUAUUUACUUUUGAAAUCAACGAAUCAACUAAUCAGAGAAAUCUAGUACAUACCCAACAUCUAUACCUAAAGAGCAAAACAUAGAUAGAAGUAUGGAACUAAAAAAAGUAGUGAAAGAAAACUAACCUGAUUGAGGUCUUCUGCUACAACGGUGUUUCCCAAGACAGCAAAAAAAGCCAACUUCAGUCUCUCAUCUUUGACAGUUACCAGAUCAAAUAGGCGUGGAACAUUUUCAGGAGUUUGAACUUUCUUGUUUAGCUUGUGCAGAUGAUCUACUUGUUUUUCCUGCACUAGAAUAUGACAUGAGUUAUGCAUGGCAUGGAAAGCCACCCAAAAAAUAGACAAGUUUCAGCCAAUAAAUUCUUCCACAUAUUACAUACGACUGCAUGCUGGUAAAUAAAACUACUAAGCAAUCUAAGAUGAAGAGAGUGAGGAAAUCAUAAAGAGAAAAUAGAGUAUAGGCAACACAAAGUAAACUAAGUACGAAGAUACCAUUAUCAUGAAAGUUGCAACGCCAAGAUUCUUCCUCCGAAGUAACUCAACACAAGCUUGUGCUGCUGCAGUUGUCUCAACAACAAUGUAAUCCAGCCCAGGACAGGCUGUAGAUAUGGCAACAUCAUAUUUUGCUGCAGCGAGAAAAAUGCAAACAAAACUUAGCAAAUACUCAUCGAACUGAGAAUGACUGACUGCUAUUAUGCCGUUUGUAUAAGUCGCCAAGGUUGUAAAUAGCAGAUAGCGGAUAUAUAACAUUUGGGGGGCUCAUAGCGGAAAGCAGAUAGCAGGCGCCAUAGUGACCACUACGAAACCAAAGCAGGUUUUCACAAAAAACUACAUAAAUUGUCUAUAUUCCUUAUUAAAAAUGCAAAUGAUUUUGAAGAAAGAACAAGUAACCAUUACCUUUUUGUAGCAUUGUGAGUCUAUACAUAUGUAAUGUCAUUAUCUAUAAGACUAAUUUCAAAAUAUUAUGAUUUAACAUAUCAAAAAGACAAAAAACUAUAAAAUCUAUAAACUUAUAAAAUCUAUAAUCCAUUUACAGGUUUUUGAUCCUUUUAUUUGACUUCAAAACCCGACCCAAUAAGAUAUUUUGACCCAUUUGCAAUUUCCAAGCUUUUGAGUCCAUAGCAGCCGCUUCGACCCUGCUUUAUAGCGCCGGCUUUAGCGGGCACAAGGUCGCUAUAGCGGCCGCUACAAACCCACGCUGCUAAAUCCUGCUCUAAUGCUAUGGCGUGGCGUUAGCAUAGUAAUUCCGCUAUGGAGACCACUAUGGCGGGUGUAGAGGUCGCUAUUAAAACAUUUGAAGCCAUAAAAUAGAUGAAAGCAAAAAAGAUCCUGAUACACUACUAUAAAUAAAAGUAAAAAGCAAAUAUUAAUUUCAUUAAGCCUCAGCCUCCUGCCUCACUUUAACGAAGCCCACAUGCAUCUACUCGGGUGCAAGGAUGCUCAGACAUGCAUAGACAAAACAAAUGGACACACACGAACACACAAACAUCAGCAAAUACAGGACACAAAAAAUGCACGCAUGCAUUUGCAUGCUUGCAAACACUGCAAAGAACCAAGCGCACCAAAGAACCAAAUAAAAUUUCUGUAAGCUAUGAGACAGUUGGUAGUUUCUCCAAUAGCACAUAUCAGCUGUUUCCAAGUGAAUUUCUAAAGAGAAGGUAUACUCAUACGUCCAAUAGUACCAAGGGAAAUGCAAGAAAAGAAAAGGCAAAUUCAUCCUCACAAAAGAUCCCAGUUGUGUCUACACCCUCAAAUAAGUUACACAUGUCCUUAAAUAGUCGGUCACACAAAAAUCCAAAGGUGCAUUAUUGUGCCUUGUUAAAACUUCAAUAUUCAGCCACAUGUUCCUGGUUUUAGAUGCCACUAACUCGACAAAAGGGCAUAUACACAUAUUUUAAACUAUAUACGCAAUUGAACAUUAGAAAUAUGAAAUCCAAAAGAAGUAUUUUAACCUAAUCAAGCUAUAUUACCAGUAUGAAUAAGGGAGAGGAAAAGCAUCACUUCUUACGAGAAAUUAUAAAAAGAAAACUCUCAAGUGCAUAAGAGAGAAUCAACAAAGAUUCUAAAGCAGUUGACAACCGAAACAGAGUAUACCUAUUUCCUACUAUCAUAGUUUGAAUUUAGCUAAACAAAAUGUACUGAUUCAAAGAUCAACUGACAUGACACACAUAACCAACUUAAUGAGCAACAUGAAAGGCUUAGGUACUGGUAACUAACUGUCAUCAGCAGUCCAUAUGCAGGUUGAACCCUGAUCACCUAACUAAUCAUGAAAGUCUUAGGUAAGCAAGUAUUCAGGACAAAAGGAGUAUACUGUACCCUCUAUUGCACCAAGAUCACCUAAUCGGCCAAAAAUUCCUUCUAUGUCCUUUGAUUCCUUGGCUUGCAGAAUUGCUUUUAGAACUGCACCCUGAGUCUUUUCAGUUUCCAAAACAGACAUGAUUUCUGAAAGUUUCUGUCUGGCAGCUUGUUCAAGAGGAAUAAGCGACUCUUCCUUCUUUAAGCUUUCCUGUAAAGCAAUUCAAGUUAUCAACUGGCACAGUAUAAAAGAAUGUACAGAAAAGCGAUUGCACAAAGCACAUACUUCUUCAAUUUUAUGAGCUUCCAUCGCUCCAAGCCGGUUUCUCUCUAUUUUAGCUUGAAUCUCUGUAAUGCUUGCCUUCUUCGUUUUGAUUUUCUCCACUAUAUCAUUAUUCUCUUGUUGAGCCUGCUCAAAUUCUACUUGGCAAGCAAUGUGCUGAAGACAAAAUAUACUAUCAAAAAACCAUCAUCAUCAAGGGUGCCAAAUCACAAGUAGGCUAAUAGCUGAAUUUUGCAAGUCAUGCAUUUUAGAAUCAUCAAAAUAUAUAGGGGUAGAAAAGAGUUAACUAACAGUCCAGCUAAACAAAACCAAACUUAGUACUGCAAUUUGUUGAAUUCUGUUAAAUAUUUGAUAUGUUAGGUGAAUGACAACUCUGAGACUGUAUAUAAAUAUAUUGAAAGAUGACAGGUCAAAUGAGAAAAAAAACCUUAGAAUCUGCUCUUUUUUUUGAUAAUUAGUCAAACACAUAUAUAGGCACACCUUUUCUUUCAAAAGCUUGCUUUCAGCAGAUGCAACAUCAAGUUUCCCUUUAUGCUCAAUCAGCUGGUUCUCCCAGGGUUCUAACUCUGCCCGGACUUUGAUGAGCUCCAAAUGAUGUCUCUCAGUUUCAUCUGUUUUUGAAUUAAUGUACAAACAUAAAACAGUAAUAAAAUAAAGCUAAUAAGAUAAAAGGAGAAAUGUUAUUUUCGCCACAGAAUCACCCCGAGAGCUUUCUUUAAUUUCUUCUAAUAGCUUUUCUUCCGCAAGCAACAGCUGUUGUAGUUUGGGUAUCUCUCCCUCGAGUUUUGGAAUGAGAUUCGAGGAUUCGUCUAUAUCUUUCAUCGAUUCAUCUAGUUUGGAUGCAUCCUGUAGGAAGAACAUAGAUGAGAAGCUUGUCAUAGCUAAUCAAAGAACCAAAUUAAAAGUUCAACGUGCCUUUUCAACUUUGUCAUCUAAUUUUUUAAUUUUUUGCUUGAGGUGCUUUAAAUCUUCUCUGUAUUUCACAUCUUGUCGUUCAAACUCCUUAAACUGGUCUUUACAGGUUCUCAUCUCAGUGUCGAGUUCCUGAAUAUUAAAGCAAGAUCCGAAAGAAAUCAGUAGCACUAGCAUUAGAAUGACGACAAGAAAGUUAUCAAACCUUCUAUUGAUAGCACAGAAAAUAAACUGAUCAUAUAAAGAUGUUAAUCUUAUCCUGCUGACAAGCAAAACCAUUAGGGAUUUGAAAAAUGGCAGCAUACAAAAGCAGCCAUUGCAUUGAACAUUAAGUACUCAAAUGCACCGUUGCAAGAAUGUAUGUGCACAUGCGAAAAUGAUUGUGGUGAUUGUAUAUGGACACAUGUGCAUGUCAUUUUUCCUUAACAGAAUUGGACAACAAAAAAGGAUUUAUGUAAAGAACACAAUUAAUUAGGACAUAGGGCGAACAUUCUCAGGAGAAGGUCAUUGAAGAUUUAAGAAGAGCAGAACAUAUUAUCCAAAUGCAAAACAAAGAAUUGGAAAUUAUUGCUUUAUAUUCUGUAAGUUAGGUAUGGUGGAAUCUGAUAGUGGAUUCAAACAAAUAAUUAAACUGUUUAAGAAGCAUUAUAGUGAUAAACUAUUCUAUGUAAAGCUAAAGUUUGCUGCAUUUGAUAAAGUUGUGGUGAAUUGAAAUGAAACAAAAGCAAUGAAGUACUACAUCUUUGAUUUCACUUAGAAGAAGGGAGGCCAUUAUGACAAUUUUAUUCAGAAAAAUAACUGCUUGCAUUGCACGAUUAAUUUUGAGCUAAGGUCGUAGGAAGAUAAUGCAAAACUACUUAUUGCUUACCUCUUGUCUUUUCACAUAUUUAUUGUAUACACUUUCUAGUUCCUUCAAUGUAGAAGAAUUCUGUUGAAUCUUCUCCCUGUAAUAGGAUUAGAACAAUUAGCCAGCUUACCCUUUACGUUCUGAAGCUGAUAAUUUGCUUCGGAUGCAAAUACCUCUCACUUGUGAGAUUUGUUUCCAGGUUUGACACAUCCUCUUGCAAGAGAAUAACACGAGUAGCAGCAUCAUCAGAAGACAAUUUAGUUGCCUUCUCUUGCCAUUUCAAAAGUGAUAGUUCCUUCAACAUAUAUUCCUCUGCUUCAUUUUUGACAUUCUACAGGACAGGAAUAUACAGUUGACUUGCCCCAUGCAAUAAGAGCUGAGAGGAAAAAUGUUCACAAAUCAAACAGAUACCUCUAAGCUUUCUCUUUCUUUCUCAGCUAGUUUCACCAUAUUCACUGAUGCAGAUCGUUUUUCAUUGAGGACCUCAAGCCUAAAGAAAUGGUAUAGCAUAAUGAGAAAACCUGUCUGAAAGGAAAAGAAAAUGUCCCCAUAUGGUGUUUAUGAAUUUAUAUUAUCACAUAAUUAUAAAUCAUUGCCAAACCGAGAAAGUUCAAGUUGACACCUCGGUAGAAGAGGAAGGAAAAAAUACGAGAUAAUUUAAAGAAAAGUGUAAGACACAUAAGUAUGAUAAUAAACAAUAUUAUAUGAGGAAAGAGCCAAGAAACAACCUCAAUAUUUUGAUUCCUGUCCUCACCUAAGACGUAAGGUGGUAAAUGACUAUAAACUGGCUCUGUGCAAUGGGCUAUAAAAUGAUGUCAAUUGUGGGAGAAACCAACAGUAAAAAAGAUGACUUAGCCAACAGGAAAAGUCGUAAACUGAUUCAAAUCCAAAGGUCAACGGUCAACAUUGCGAUCCUAAGAUAGUAUAUAGCUUAGUUCAGUUUUUUAAUGAAGCCUGAUUGACCGUAUAUUGUGCUCAACAUCAACUUGCUCAAAUGUCGAAGACUAGAUAUCAUUUACACUUGCCUAGAGAGUAAGCAUUGGAUACGAAACAACAGAAAGGUUUGUGGAGUCAGUGAAAAGAUAUAACAUGGCCCUUUCAUAGACAGGCUAUUACUAAUGUAUUGUCAAAAUAAGGUACUCAUCGGCAUACAACAGCUCUCAAGUACGUCAUACACAACAUGCCGCGACCACAAUUUACAGGUCACCAACAACAUAUUCAUGGCAUGAUUACUGUUACCGCAUUUAGUAAUAGGCAAUACAAAAUUGAAAUUAUACCACUUCUUCAGAAUAAAAAAGUUGAAUAGAGUGACAAAUUAAAAAAGCUAACUCACUGUCUCUGCGCUUCUUCGAUCUUUUCCACAUACUGAUUUGUCCCAAUAAUAUCCUCCAGAUAUUCUAAAAAGCCCUCAUCAUGGGCCCCUUGAACCUUGGGUUUCAUUAGGGAAAUCUGCUCGACCUCACCCUGCACAGAAACCAUAUAAGGACCCUAGACAGCUAAAGUUUGUCAUCAUAGUUCAUUAGUAAAAUCAAAAUUUGUCCGGUUGCAUCUAACAUCUUCAAAACUUUUAAACAACACGAUCACACGGUACACACCCACACAGCUUUUGAGUUGCUCGGCGGUGUGUUUUUUUAUAAUUAUAGUACUAAAUAACUUGCCAAGCUUUAAUUUGAGAAAGUCUCAGAAUGUUCAUUUUUGACCUGUAGAAUUAGAAAGCGGUUGUUGUCCAGGUCCACCCCUUUCCCUUUAAGCAUUUUGGUGACUUCGGUGAAAUUACUUGCACGCUCGUUAAUGUAGUAUCUAGAAGAGUUGUCCCUAAAAGCAAUCCUUGUAACGACAAAGUCACUGCCCUCGACAGCCUCGUUGGUUCCGUCAGCCUGGUAUAACCGCGCAAAUGAAGUUCUUUUUUUUAUGAUGAUAAUAGAUAAUCGAUGUCGGCUUAACAGAAGCAUACCAGAUCGACAAUUUCUUGGAAGUGGACGGAAACUGCAGCACUGUCCAGGUUUUGAUGGUCGCUAGAAUUGUGUAUCAGCUCCGAUACCUUAUUCAGACGCAUCUAGGGUGAAGAAGAAAGGCAAAUGUUUUAAUUUUCCUUUUUAUUGUAAUUCAUGCGCGGUCCAAACCAACACGCACGACAUCGCGCUCAAUUGGAGGAGGAGGAGGAGAAGAAGCGAGGAGAGAGGUUUACCUGCUUCGCCCGCUUCCCAAACACGAAGAGCAUCGCGUCUAUGACGUUGCUUUUCCCGCUGCCAUUAGGGCCCACAACUGCCGAGAAGCUCUGCUCAAAAUAGGUAAAAUAAGAAAGAAAACAAAAACAAAAGAAAUGCUGAAGCUAGGGUUUUGCCGAGGAGGAGGAGGAGGAGGAGGAGGAGGACGAUGAAAAGGGUGAAGAGAAUUAGGGAAAGGGGAGGGUGGGGGACCUUGUGGAAGGGGCCGAUGCGCUGCUCGCCGGCGUAGGAUUUGAAAUUGCGGAGCACCAUCUCCUUGAUGAAGAGCCGCGGCCUGCUCUUUGGAGGCGCCGAAGGAGAGUGGCCGCCGCCGCCGCCGCCGGACGCCGCCGCGGUCGGACUGGUCGACUCUUCCGGCAUGGGAGCGGAGGGAGGGGGAGCGGGGAAGGAGGGUUCGAAAAAGGAGCGUUGUGGUUUGGGAGGGAAAACAAAAUUCUUCCGGAGGGAAAAAAAACGAAAAGGAAUAGUACUCUCUAGUCUCUACUCUCUACUGAAACGCCACGAGUAGAUCCGGCAAUCUCUUUCGUACCCGCGGGUACCCACAAAUUACAUAUUAUAUUGGAUAUUGGACUAGUUUUAUAAAAGUUCAUAUCUAAGUAGGGGUGUAAAACGGGCCGGGCGGCCCAUGGACGGUCCGGCCCGGCAGACUGCAGGCCGGACCGUGGCCCGGCACGACUACUGUAGCAGCCGUGCCCGGCCGAAGGGUCGGCCUGCAGCCCGGCACGGAACGGCCCGGAUACAUUUAUUGGCCUGGCUAGGCUUUAGCUAGGCUUAUAAAAGGCUAGGCCUGCCUUUAGCCUUUAUUAGAGUUUGUAGCCCUCUACCAAAGUCCCACUGUCCAACAGUCCAAGUGUAGCCAGGCCUUUUUCUUUUCUUUUUUCUGAAAAAAUAUUUUUUUAUUUAUUAUUUUUUAAAAAAUGGGUUAAAAAAUUUAAAAAAGAUUUUUUUUGAUCAAAAUGACCACAAUGCCCUCACUAACAUUCAAAAAUUUGACUGUUAGAGAGGGCAUUUUGGUCAAAAACUAAAAAAAUAUUUUUAUAUUUUUUAAAAAAUAUUUUUUAUAUCUAUAAAUAUUACUAAAAACAGCCAAAUUCACCACAACAAACUAUUAGUCAUUGCGCCUCUUCUUUUUUAUUUAGUACCACUCUUUAGUAGGUGUAAUGAAGUAAAAAAUUAUGUUUGAUUUUUUUUCUUUAUUGUUUGCUAGUUGGUUGUAUAAACAAUAUUAUUUUAUUUUAAAUAUAUUUUAAAUUUUUAAAAAUUUUGUACUUUUCUCUAAUGUAAUUAUAUAAUAAGAUUAAUUCAAAUUUUAAAUAUUUUUUUGUAUAUUUUUUCGAAUAUCAAUUUCUCUUCAAAUAAUAAAAAAUUAUAAAAAAAAAACUAAUAUUAAUUUUAUAUUAGAAAGUUAAAUUUAUUGUGAUUUUUUAAAAUUUAUAAAAGUUUUAAAAAGGUUGGGUAUAAUUAUGUAAAUUAAAAAUUAUAAGUCAAAAGGCUAUAAUUUAAACUCUUUUUUAAAAAAGAAAUUUUAAAAAAUACAAACUUUAUGUAAUAUGAUUAAUACAAACUUUAUAUAUUUUUUGUAAUUAUUGUUUUAAAUAUCAAUUUCUCUUCAAAUAAUAAAAAAUUAUUAAAAAUAUUUAAUAAAAGAGUUUUCAAAAAGUUUGGUGUAAUUGUAUAAAGUAAAAGCCAUAAGUUUAUAAUUUAAAAAGAAAUUAUCUCUUUUUCUGAAAAAAAAAAUUUCUGAAAAAAAAAACUAGGAAAAGAAAUUAUUUUAAAAAAUUUGGACUGGCACGAAGCCUGGCCCGGCCCGACACGGCCCGUAUUAGGCGGGCCAGGGGGCCGGGCCGAGCCUACUACUCUAGCUAAAAGGACCGGCACCGCCAGACCCGAAUUAAUAACCGGGUCGGGCCGGGCCGACCCUUGGCCCGAAAUGGCCCAAAAAAUGUGGGUCGUGCCAACCCAGCACGGCCCACAUUACAUCCCUAUAUGUAAGUAUAGUAAAUUAUAAAUAUAUUUUUUAAAAAAUUUAAUUUUUAUAUAUUGUUUCUACGAAAAAUCUAAUAUUUUUAAAUAUGUCUUUCUAGUUUACUAGCGUUAAAAUACUGUCUAUUUAUAAAUAAAAUGCCUUUUUGCCAUCAUAAAUAUGUCCCUCUAAAAGUCCGAACUGUUAAUUGAAUACGGUAGAAAGAUCAAUUCACCUCGUUAACUAACUAGGGUUAAGUAUUUAACUUAUAAUUAACUAAAUUUUUCUAAUGGAGGGACACAUUUGAAAACAUCAGAAUUUUCAUAGGAACAAUAUAUGAAAGUUGAACUUGAUAUUGAUAUAUUUGUAAUUCACUAUAUUUGUAGGAUCUUUUUGAAAUUAAUCCUAUUAAAUUUAUAAUUGCGGAUCAUAAAUACUCGUUGAGAUGUGAGUAUUUUGAGUAAUCCAUGGACACCCACAAAUAUAUAUAUAUUUCGAAAUUUAUUUUCUAAAAGUUUUCUAUAAUCUAGAUCAUAUUUAACGGAGUGGAUCGUUGAUUCGGAAGCUCCAUCAUUGAAAACAACUUAUGAGUACGAGGGCUCCAAUACUCAUAAUAGUAUAGUAGCCAUGGCCUAUAUAUAUAUAUAUAGUUCGGCUGGAAUACUAUCGAUAGCACCAAGAAUUUGGUGCUAUCGAAUUUUUCAUCGUUAGAUUUAACCAUUUGAUUAUUUUUACCCGUUAGAUUAUACUAUUCAACAAACCACUCACUCAAUCUUAGGGGACCCACAUGAUUCUAACCACACAUUUCUCAAUUCAAGGGUUAAAAAACUAAUAGCACCAAUAACUUUGUACUAUUAAUAGUGUUCCAGUCUAGUUCUAUAUAUAUAUAUAUAUAUAUAUAUAUAUAGAGAGAGAGAGAGAGAGAGAGAGAGAGAGAGAGAGAGAGAGAGGAGCUAGAAUACUAUCAAUAGUAAAUGGGCUCCGUUGCCAUCUAUUUGUUUUCGAUGAUAGAGCCUCCAAAUCGAUGAUCGGUACCGUUGAAUAUGAUCUAUACCCCUUGAAGUGUUUAGAAAUAAAAGCUCAAAUCAUUUCGACAUCAUUUGCCUAAUGAUCAAUGAGUUUCAAAAUUUUUAAUUUUAAUGGUCGAUAUGAGGCGUUUUCUUGUUUAACGGCGUAAAGAUAUUCAAAUCAAUUGAAUUUUUGUUAGAAAAAAUUUUAAACUAUUUAAAACAAGAUCUAUAUUCUUCAUCUUGAUUACAAGACUCCUAUUAUCAUUUUUUAAAGAAUAUUCAUUUUCAGCCCUUUAUUUUUGUGUCCACUCGAUGGAUAAGAAACAAUAUCGAAACUAUAUGAAAUUUGAUUUCUAAACACUUCAGGUAGUAUAGAUUAUGUUCAAUAGUGCCGAUAGUUAAUUUGGAAGCUCCAUCAUCGAAAACAAAUGGAUGGCAACGGAGCCCGUUUGCUAUCGAUAGUAUUCUAGCUCAACUAUAUAUAUAUAGUCCGCUACUCUUAUGAGUACGAUCGCCUUUGUACUCAUAAGUCGUUUUCGAUGAUAUAGCUUCCGAAUCGACGAUCCAUACCGUUAAAUAUUUUCUAGAGCAUUUAAAACUUCUAGAAAUCAAAUUUCAUAAUUUGUCGACAUCAUUUACCUUACGACCAAAAGCUCACAAAAUUGACAAUUUUUAACGACCGGUAUGGAAUACUUACUAGUUUAACGGUGCAAAAGAAUCAGAAUAGGUUGAAUUUUUGAUAGAAAAUUCUAUUCGCUACCUAAAUAAAGAUCACUAACUCCGAUCUUAAAUUGAAGGAUCCGAUCAUCCAUUUUUAAGACGUCGUUCGAUUUUGACCGUUCAUUUUAUGCCCGCUUAAUGGACUUUAUUAUGAUUUCGAAAAAUUACGAAAUUUAUUUGCUAGAAGUUUCAAAUACUCUAGAUCAUAUUUAAUGGAGUAGAUCGUCGAUUCGGAAGCUCCAUCAUCGAAAACAACUUAUAAGUACGAAGGGUCCAAUACUCAUAAGAGUAUAGUAGCUCUACUAUAUAUAUAUAUAUAUAUAUAUAUAUAUAUAUAUAUAUAGAUUAUAUAUCUAUAAUAUAUAGUUAUAUAAUUGAGUUCUCUGUACUUUUAAAAAGUACCAAAUCACUUGGUGGCUAGUAAGUUUUUUGGCCCCUUGGAAUUAAAGAUAUGGCGAUUAGAUGAUGUGGGCCCCGCUAGGGUUGAUUGGGUGGUGUGGCUUGAAUAGUACUAUCUAACGAAUAAAACAUGAUCAAAGGCAUAAAUCUAACACGUAAAAAAAUUCUAACAAGCACAAUGUGCUUUGGUGCUUGUACAAGCCACCUAUAGCGGAUAUAUAUAUAUAUAUAUAUUAUGAUAGUAUAUAUAUAAUAUCAUAUAUAUAUAUAUAUAUAUGAAUUAGGUGCUGGCAAACCUAUUAAUAGUAAAACGCCUUGUUGCUAUCAAGUUUUUAACCCGUCGGAUUGAAAAAUUGUAGGGUCUGGAUGAGUAUUAGUCGAUUAGAGUUGCAAGUGGUCCCCUAGUGGUUAAGUGGUCCCCACUGGGUUAUAGUAUUUAAUCCAAUGCGUUAGAAAAAUGGAAAGAGUGAUCAAGGUUUAAAAAACCUGUCAGCACAAUGAGUAUUUUCCUACAAUAGUUAGCCCAGUCCAACUCUCUUCUCUCUCUCUCUCUUCUCUCUUCUCUCUCUCUCUCUCUCUCUCUUCUCUAAUAUAUAUAUUAGUAUAUAUAUAAUGAGGCUACUGUGCCUUCCUGAAAACACGGAAGAGCUUCCAUGCUUCCAAGUCGUUUUCAUAUGUUGCGCUUUAUUGAAUCGUCGAUCGGCUCCGUUAAACUUGAUCUAGAGUAUUUGAAGUACCUAAAAAAUAAAUUAUGCGAUUUUUUGAUAUUAUUUGCCUAGUGAACGAAGAGGCUCAAAAUCAACGACUGAAAAUAAAAAUAUUACAAAACGUGAUAAUAUGACAUUAAAACUUUAGAUCAAAGAUAUUGAUCUUGUUUUAUAUAGUAUAAAGAAUUUUCUAUCAAAAUUUCACGUGAUUUGGAUAUUUCUACACCGUUAAACUUGCAAACGGCUCACUAUGGCCAUUAAAAUUAUUGAUUUUGAGCCCCUUCGAUCACUAGGCAAAUGAUAUCGAAAAAUCAUAAAAUUUAUUUUCUAGGUACUUCAAAUACUCUAGAUCAAGUUUAACGGAGCCGAUCGACGAUUCGAAAGUCGCAACAUCGAAAACGACUUGGAAACACGGAAGGCUCCGUGCUUCCAAAAGCAUAGUAGCCUCACUCUAUAUAUAUACAUAUAUAUAUAUAUAUAUAUAUAUAGAGAGAGAGAGAGAGAGAGAGAGAGAGAGAGUAGGGCUACUAUUCUCUUAUGAGUAUAGAGAAGUUCGUACUCAUAAGUUGUUUUCGAUGAUGGAGCUUCCAAGUCGACGAUCCGCUCCGUUAAAUAUGAUCUAGAGUAUUUGAAACUUCUAGAAAAUAAAUUUCGUAAUUUUUCGAAAUCAUAAUAAAGUCCAUCAAGCGGGCAUAAAAUGAAUAGUCAAAAUCGAACGACGUCAUAAAAAUGGAUGAUUAGAUCCUUCAAUUUAAGAUCAGAGUUAUUGAUCUUUAUCUAGGUAGUGAAUAGAAUUUUCUAUUAAAAAUUCAAUCGAUUCUGAUUUUUUUGCACCGUUAAACUAGCAAGUAUCCCAUACUGACCAUUAAAAAUUAUCAAUUUUGUGACAUUUGAUCGUAAGCUAAAUGAUGUCAAAAAUUAUAAAAUUUAAUUUCCAGAAGUUUAAUAAUAUUUGACGGUAUGGAUCAUCGAUUCGGAAGUUUUAUCAUCAGAAACGACUUAUGAGUACAAGAGUGAUCGUACUCAUAAGAGUAUAGGAGCCGAACUAUA